CCUUUUUCUUUAUGGCCUUUUCCCCUUUUGACCUUUGUUUUUUUUUUUAUCAAGUCGCCAUCCACCAACCUCACCACCAUCCCAUCACAAACUUUUCUUUUCCUUCUUUUUCCUUUUUUUUUUUCUUUUUCUUUUUUUCUUUUUUUGUUCUUUUCCUUUUUCCUUUCCAUUUUCUGAAAGUUGAACAGCGCCACGAAGAGCAAAUUACGACAUCAUACUGAACGAUGAUAUUGUUACCAGCUUUAGGUUUAGGCAUUGAAGAUGUUGCAAGGAUUUCACCUUCUGCUGAAGAAGAUGAAGUCAGGGUGAUUUACUUGACGUUCUCUUAACCAAUCCUCAGCAUCCUGCAAAAGUGAAUUUGCCAAUUGCCACUCGUAUCCACCAUUUGGAGUCCAUAAAGACCCUCUGAACUUGUAUGAAGCUAGACCAAAAACUGGUAGAGACAUCUUAGGGACACCAUCUAUCUCACUAGGAUACGUUACUACAGGACAUUGAACACUACGUGCUCCUGUAAAUAAAAUAUAUAAAGGAUCAGUAUCAAAGAAUUUAAAAUGUAAAUCAACGUCCAGAGGCAAAUCAUUUUGUUUUAUCAGAAUCUGGAUGCAACUCGUCCAGACGCAAAUUUGUUUGUGCAUUUGCUAAUUUGUAUCGAUGGAGCACUAGAACUUGACACAAAGUUACAACCAUGAGAAGAUACUAGAAUGUGUCAUAAAGUUACAACACUUACAACCAUGAGGAGACAACUACCACAUAAUUAACAGUUUACUACAGAUGAAUUGGAAAUAAAUUAACAGCCAAUAUACAGAUAAAAAUCAGAACUCGACGGCUGGUUUUGGUCAAAGCAGUUCCAAUAAGCAGACUAAAUCUUCUAAAUACAAUUAUCUCUUCCAUACAUAAAAAUAUCAUUUUCGUUGAGAAAAAAUGGAAGAAUACAAGGGCAAACAAAACAUCAGCCCAGAAAAAGAGAACCCACAAUAAAAAGGGAUUCCAACUAUGCAAAAUAACAUCUAAAGAAUAGUUACAAAAAGCUUUCAAAUUUGAAGCCCACAACAAAACAUGAUAAAGCACAAGGGUCCAAAUCUCACAAUGGUUCCUCUCCACGCCUCUAAAAACCCUAAUUAAACUCUAUAUAGAAUUAUAUAAAAUGUAAGCCAUCAGUAUUUCCAUUCUUAUGCUAAGUCAUCUACGAAUACUUGUAUGUAGAGCACCGGUUCAUAAAUGAAAAGCAUUUGAACAGAAAGUCGGAAACAAAUUUCAACUCAAGUUGGAGUAAAUGACAGAAAAACAUAAUUUAGUAGUGAAAAUUGUAUUCCUUAUCAAACAGUUCUAUUGUAGAUAAAGAUUAAACUGGAGUUGAGAAACAUAAUAGAGCUUGUUAUUUAAAUCUCCACUCCAAGCAUAGUCGUACUGUUUGAAGUUGCCAUCGACCUCAGUUAAAACAGAUGACUAGAUGAGCAGAGACAGAAAAAGAUCUCCAUUUGAAUGAAGCGAGGUAAAGUAAAUGAAAAAAUAAUAAUAAAAAAUAAAAAUAAAGAGCCACCACAAAAAAUUGGACGUUUAAGAAUCAGAAGAAAAUUUCAAUUACCUCCAAUUGGCGAAGACAAAUAGUGAAAUGUGAGGAAGCAGGCAUCCAGAUCCUUUAAUGUUGGUCCAGUUGGAAUCCUGUAAAUUGGAUACCUACAAAAGAACCACCAAAGCACAAUAAGUGAUAUGUGCUUGUAUAAAAAUGUCAAAUUAGGCUCAAGGCUUGAUAGUACCAUGCCACAGAAAACCAGCUGGAAGGCAAUAGAUCACAACUCCGUAAUGUCUUGAGCUCAGGGAACUGAAAAGCAAGAUCUGAUAUCUGGACAAAAUAUCAGAACUAGAGUAAGGUCACGAGAAAUGGAAGUAAAGGAUUAGGCAUUUUAUUUUUUCUGAUCUCAACAGAGGGAAGGAGGUGCAAAGCAUUAACUUGCCUUAUCUGCCAAAGGUUCACGACUAUAAGGCAAAUCACGUUCAAGAUGCUCGAACAGUAGCUGCCCUCUAGAAUUAAGAGAUUCGGCCUCAUCACUAGAACAGUCUUCUUGAAGUCCAAUUAGCUGGUCCCGAAAAGACAUAUUAUCCAUUCUACGAGAAAGCUCAGAUGAUAAACGAUGAUGAUUGAGUUGCUUCCCCAUGUAUUUUAGUGCUCGUUCAGGUUCUGAAUCACUACUACCAUCACUACUAGAAUCUCUGAAGUCACUAUCACUGUCCUCACCAGGUUGCCUACAUCACAUAUGUCCACGUUUGAAUUACUGAAGUAUUCAACAUAUUUUGUACCAAUUCAAUGUUAAACUUUAAACACUUAAGCAACUCAUUUGGUAAAUCAAAAUACACCACCCUUAAAAUUGGACUAGUGAACUUAUGCAAGACACAAAAUCAAAAAGAAUUUAUCAUAAUCUGUCAAUAUGACAAUGUGCCUUAGCUCUUUUCUGCCUCUUUCACCAGGUUGCUUACUUACCUACGAUAACAGGGCUGAAACAAAUAUUAUUAUUAGCUAUCAACUUCAAUAGUUCUUUUGACCAAGAAAAAUCCUUGCAAUUCAAUAAGCAUUCUAGUUAUUACAUAUGGUUAACCAAGAAACACACACUCACACACACAGUCUAUGUAUGUAUAAAGGACAGAGAAACUGACCCUCACUUGAACAUUUGAUUAUAUUUCCCCCAUAAAUCAUACUAACAGCUUAUCAAAAUUAAAUUUUACAAAAUGCAAGGAUUCUACAGUCUAUAGACAGAGUUUAUUUGCAGUGGACGACAAUACCUCGACUUUGCAGAGGACUUCAAGGAUUCACCAUAUAUCUGUAUACCAGAUAAAUAUGGUACAUAAUAUUGGACAACGCUGUCACUGUCGUUUAAUACAAGAGGCACACCUGCGCCAUAAGCACUCCAUUCCUUAAAAGACUCCCACAAAUCACCUAGGACAAAGUAUGGUUGAAAUUCCAUAUCACAGGUUCUCCAACCCUUCAUCGUUGUCUGCAAUGAAAGACACAAUUGAAGACAAAAUCAGGGUAGAUUAUUGGGAACAUUGAUCGAGGCAUUAAUGUUGAUCCUAGCUAUGAAAAACAACCCCUCAACACUGAUCAUUGAUGAACUUGAGGUGAUAGAUAAGACAAUAAGUAGCCAAAAAAAAAAAAAGGAAAGCAAUUAAAAUCUCAACUGAAAUCUGUAUUUAUUAAAAUCUCUACUGAAAUCGGUAUUUAUCCCCCACAAAAACUGCCACAAUCAGACUGGUUUUCUUCUCCACAUAAAUUUUGUCUCAAAUUUAUAACAGUGUGAACUUAAACAUUGAUCAGUAAAACAGAUUGUGGACGCAGAUUAGAACUAGGAGGUUCAUAUUGAGAACCCCAAAAGGUAAAAACUAAAAAUAUUUGGAAAUCAACUUUUCGAUACUAAAGAACACAAAAUCCAAGGAAAAAGAAAAGCAACCCAAAUUCCAAUAGUUUCAAACCUUUGCGAGAUACUGUGCAGGAACAGAUGGUGCGAUAGACUGCAAGAACCGCUCGAGAUUACUCAGCGAUGACACCACCGGCUCAAAACCCGACGUCGCAAUAGAUUUAGGGAGCUCUUCACACCCAUCGCCGCAUUCGGAUUCCCUAAUAACCGAGGACACCGCGCUCUGUUUAACGACAAGGGAUUGACCAGCCGAAACAUCGCUCUGAGCUCUCCGGAGCUGAUCCUUUUGACGGCCCUGAUGCACCCUACGAGCUUUCGUCGGAUUAUAAAACCUAUCGUCACCACGACCGAACUGCAAUCCUGCACCUAACAUUAUAAUUUUUUUUUUCCAAAACCAAACGAGAAAAAGAAAAAAGAAAAGAGAAAAAAAAGGGUCUGGAAAAUGGGAAUCGGCUAAUCAAUCCUCAAUAAAAGUCAACGAAAAAUGGGAAAAGCAAGAAUCCGUUGGUUGAGAGUAAUGGGAUUAAAAUGAAAAUCCCGAAGAAGAAGAAGAAGAGAGACCGAUUGAUUGCGAAAUAGAAUUAGACAAACAAUCGGGGGUGGUGGCAGAAUGUGAGAGAGGAAAAACAGAGCGGUGCCCUGUGUGGGUCGUUGAAAAGGAAGAAAUGGGUGAAGGGAAUGGGAGAAGAUGAAUUGGAUCUAAUACAGAGAAGGAAAGUUUCAAUGGCGUCGAGAGAGAGAGAGAGAGAGGUAAGGGAAGAGAAAAAGGAAGCGAUUUGAAGAAGAGAAAAAUGGAGAGAGAUGGAGGAGAAGAACAGUACGCCGGUUUUUUCAAGGAAGAAAAUAGCCACUAAUUCUUUUUUUCUUAUUAUUACUUUUAACAUUAUUAAUUUUGUUGAUUAUAUAUUUAUAUGGACUAUAUACUAAUUAUAUUAUAUAGUAUAGUAAUGGUGUUGUUGUUCUUCAAUCUUCACCAACUAAACUAUGUUUUAAAUUUUAAUAUUGAAAUCAAAAGAUAGAGCCCCUAAUUAAAUUAGGAUUUGGACGGCUUUCCUUUAACAUGGAAAGACAAUUAUAUCCUUUCCAUCACACCUUCUCUACUCCUUCCCUCUUCUUCUUUUCCUUUAUUUAAAAACAAAUUACUUCUUAUAUAAUGUUUUAUACAUUGGACGCUUUUGUCUUUUUGGAAACCUACAUAAUCCAAACCAAUAUUUUUCUACAUAACUCAAUUGUAUUUUUUUUAAAGGAUUUUUAGUAAUUAAUUUGAAUAUCAAACAAAAGAUUAUAGAUAUCGUUAACUAGCAUUCUAGAACGCUCAAAAAUCUUUACCCGUCAAAAACAUCUAACACGAUAAUCUAGAUAAAUCUAAGAUGUCAUCUUCAAACAAACAUAACAUGAAUAGUGUAUCGUUACUUUUAGUUCUUGAUUUGUUGGUUUAUAGUUAAAAUUAUUGUAUUGAAAUACUGUAUUUGUUAUUUAAAUUUAGAGUCUAAAUAUAACAAAUUUUUAGAACAGAAUCUAAAACAGUCUCAUGACAUUUUCAUAUCAAAAUUUAUAGCUUUAUUUUCGUUAAGACUUCAACUGACAACCGUUUACACCAUUUGUUCCAACAAAAUACAUUUAUAUACUUUUUUUUCUUUCUCAUUUUUUCAUAUUUAGUUUCGAAUAUAGUUUUUUUUUAAUAAAUUUCAAUAUUGUUUUUCAAAUCAAAAUAAAUAAUUGUUUUUUUGCCUUAAAGUAUUGAUUAUUAUUAAAGACGAAACUGAUAAAAUAUAAAUUUAAUAUUGAUUAUUAAAACAUUAUAACAUGAUCUUUUCCAAAUGUAACCAAAGCUUGAUUUCUUUGAGUUGGUUUUAUUAUUUUAUUUUUGUAAAGUAUUAAACUUGCUUCUUAAUUAUUUCUUUUAAAUAAUAACUCCUGCUAUUAAAAAAAAAUGCAUGUUUUUAGGAUGUUAUUUAUGUAAAUACCUUUCUAACACUGUGGAAUGAAUUUAAAUAGAUAAAUUAUUAUUUGGUCGGUUGUACAUGACUUGUUUGUUUUGGUCAUUUUAUUAUUAUAUUUUCAAAUCUCUAAAUUUAGUUCUAACAAAGCUUUAAAUAUACAUUAAUUUGUAAUUGAGAAUGAUGAACUAAAUGAGAAAUAUACAUUAAUAUUUGGAAAAUUACACCAUUACAUUUGAAAAAAACAGUUUAUGAUUUUUUUUUUUUUGCAUAUUACGACAAAAUUAGUGAUAUCAUACAAAAUCAUAGGAUUAUCGAUUUUAAAUGUUACUUUUACAAUUUAUAAAAUGUAGUGACGUAAAUCUUGUUAUUAUUUUUUUUUUUACUAUUUUUACAAAGGUCUCUUCAUAUUCUUGCAAAGUUAAGUAAAAAUUACCUUCAAUUAUCAAGUAUCAAUAAUAAUUAAUUUCAAAAGUCUGGUUUUAAUUAUUUAAAAAUAUAUUCAUAUAAUUUUAGACAUUUUAAAUAUAAGAAUUAAAAUUAAUUAGAAAAAAAAAUGAAAAUUAGAGAGUGGCCAAAAUAGACAUAAUAAUCUCAGUAAAGAUUUUCUUUUUCUUUUUUUUUCAAAAAAGAAACAAUAUAGAUUGAAUAACCAUUUAUUGGAUUACCAUUCAUGGAUAUAAUCACUCUCCAAAACCUAAUUAUUUGUUUCUGUUAUCUAUAUUUUUUAAAAAAAUAUUUUUAAAACCACAAAUUCGGAAAAGUUUCUUUUUAAAAAAAUACUUUUAAGAGUUUUUUUUUUUAAAUUCAAUGAUUCUUAAAAAUGAAAGUAUAAACGGUACUAAACAAAAAUAAAAUAAAAUAUUAUUUGAGGUCCUUAUAUGUAAGUUUGUUUAAAAUCUAAUUUUAAUUUUGUCUUUUUAACAAAUCUUAAAUUUAGUCUCUUACGUCUAAUUUUAUUUAAAUAUUAAUAAUAUUUUUCACGCAAACAAAAAAACCAAACACAUCUUCAAAUUUAUAGUAAAAAAAAGUUACUAUUAACAAAAAUAUUUUUAAACAUUAAACCAUAGACUAGACUAAAUUUAAGAAAAAUACAAAAAUUAAAAUGAAUAAAUAAGAUCUUAGGAAAAUUUUUGAAAAUGACAAAUAUUUACCUUUCAUGACACAAUUACUAAGUGUGAUAAAUUUUUGUUUAUUAGUAUUGUUUUUUUUACAAAUAGUAAAUAUUUUAUUAUUUCUAUUAUUAUUCUUAAAAAACAAUCUGUCAAGCAAAAAAUUAAGCUGAAAAUAAGAAUAAAAACAAAUUAUUUACCAUUGAGGGUAAAUAUUUGGUGUGUUUUAUCAUUUAUUUUUUUGGGUUAAAAAUUAGGGUUGAGGGAGGGAGGGUAAUUUGGUAAAUUAAGGGUAAGGAUUAGUGAAGAGGAGAGUAGAAUUUGAAUGGGUCCCAAAGAGUCAGAGCGUGUAAUCGAACCGCUAAUAAAGAAGGAAUAUGAUUGGUGGGAUUUAGGUAAAUGGAGGAUUAGUUAAUAAGUCAGCUUGAGACACGUGGGAAAUCCAUUCCUCGACACGUGUACAAACAGAUAUGAAUUCUCUCUGAUCUUAUCUCAAUCCAUUAUUUCAACGGCAACCAAAAUAUUAAACUUUUAUUAUUCUUUUUGUUAAAUUACUAUUACUAUUACUACUAUUAUUAUUAUUAUUUAGAAAAAAUAAAAUAAGAAUAUUCAACUUUCAAUUUUACUUUCUUAUAUUUUUUAAUUCUCUAAUUUUAUUAAUAAAUCCUAAGUUUAAUGCCUACUGUUAACUUAAUGUUUUUUCCCACAAACAAAUCAAUUUCACUAUCAAUUUUGAAAAUAUAUUUAGUUCUUAUUAGUGAGAUUUUCCACCAAUUUUAGAGUUUCUAUUUUUAAUUUUUGUUAUGUUUUCAAAAGAAUUUUUAUAAUAGUAAAUAUAUUCACGUAUAUAUUAUAUUUUCUUGUACUCAAAGAAAAACUAAAGUUUGUUCAAACUUUAAAAUUAUGAAUUCCAAAAUAGUAUUUAAACAUAAUAUUUGAUUGGUUCCUCCUCUAGAAAUUUAGAUUUUAAUGAUAGUUGAAAUUUCAAAAAUAAAAAAAUGGUGGGAUCAUUUUGUAUCUAAUUGAAAAAGGAUAGUUAGAACUGGGUUGAAUAAUAAUAAUAAUAAUAAUAAUAAUUUAAAUCAGGUUGUUUUUUUAAUUAUAAUGGUUUGGUAAAAUAAAAUUGAUAAAUACUUCAUAGAAAAAAGUUAAGAAGGAAGGAAAGGGGAAUGGAGGGAAAAAGUACAUUUCCGUCUUUGGCAUGUUUGGUUAGAUUUCAUAUUUUGGAAUUUGGAGAAUUAAAUUAUAAUAAGAAAAUGUAAAGAAUAUAGUUUUUGUUUAGGCUGAAAAUCACAUUGCUAUGGCUACAAAAGUAAAUUACUUAUAUAAUAGAUCUAAGGUAGAUUGAUUAAUAAAGUAAUCAUUAAUGAUUAAUUUGUUGGAAUGAGCCCACUCAGGCAAAUAAUUCAAGUGGUCACGUGCCUCGCAAAAUUUUUAUAUUUUUAUAUAUAUAAAAGUAUUCUUAUGUUUUAUUUAUUUAUUUAUUUAUUUAUUUACAUAUUGUCGGCCAUUAUCUUUUGGAAAAUAUAUGUUAGUAUAUAAAUUUUGCGUUUAAGAGAUUGUUUACUAAUUUGUGAUUAAAAUUGGUAAAACUAUAAUAAAUUUUUAUUGAUAUAUCAAUUAUUGGUUACAUUUCUUUCUUUUUAUAUUUUGUUCCAAGUAAAUGAAGAUCUUUGACUAAUUUUUCUUGUAAAGUGUUAUUUGGCCUAAGAUUGAAAAAAAAAAUUAGUUGGAGCUCAAAAUAUCUAAAUCUAAACAUUUUGAUAUUGUACCAAAUAUAUUAAGCGUUAGUGGUCAAUUAAUGACGUGUUGACUAUGAUAUAUUUGGUAUUUUCUAUCCAUAGUGUGCAUGUGGACUAAUUAUUUUGCCCUUGAUUAUAUUUUUUAAAAGAUCUCAUUACUAUUGGGUCUCAAAUAACCAAGGUAAUUAAAUUGUUUUUAAUUAUAUUUACUUAAACUAUUUUAGAAAAAUAAUUUAAUUAUGAUUGGGGUUAUUUUCUUCUUAUGAUUGUUAUCGUGUUAAUCACUAAAACAAUAUCUAUAACGAUAAUUUAAAUGUGAUAGAUCCAUAACUCUUCUACUGUAAUAGUAACAAUAUCUAAAGACAAAUGUUGAAAAUUUGUUCAAAAUUAUUUGAAAAAGGCAAAUGAGUCUCACAAAAUUAACACAAUUGAGAAGGAUUUUUCAUCUUGAAAAGAAAGAUUCAAUGUAGUGAAAGAGAGUCUCACAAGCUUAAAAGGGCAUAAGUUCAAAAGAAUGUGAUUUCUAUAUCUGAUUGUCAUUGUAAUCUUUAAUGUAUACAAAUAAUUAGUACACAUUGUAAUCGCUUAACUCAUUUAUAUUAACGAACUGAGUUAUCAACUCUUAUAUGUUAUCGUUGUUUCAGUUUCUAUUGAUUUGUUAUUGUGAUAUAUGUAAUUGCUAGGACAUGUUGUGUGACAUUUUUAAUUAGCGUGAAAGUACAUCUUUUCAAAUUUUGAAUAUAAUUUUCAUUAUACGUAAAUGUGUAUAUAUGUAUUUAAUACACAGCUAAAAUAUAAGAAAAAAUUUCCAUCCUUUCUUUACUCCUAACAUUUUUUUUUCUUUUAAGAAAAAUAAAUCAAAUGAAGGUUAUGGUUGAAGGUUAUGGUUGGUGUGCUCACUAAUGAACUGUACUUUUGUAGAAUUUAAUUUUAAUGUGAUUUUCUUCUUUUAUAUCGAAAAACUUUUUUAAAAAAUUAUUUUCUUUAAUGUGAUUCUUUUAGAACAUAUUAGAGUAUCUUAUGAUCCUCGACACAUAUAAAUAUAAGUUGAACUAAACUUCUUUUAGCUUUUUAAAUGUCAACUGUAUUUAGGUUUAUAAAAAAAAAAUCAGUUUGAUAUUGUUGAUACCAAAAUUCGAAUAAAGUAAACUAAAUAUUACCUUCAAUGGCAAUCUCUUGAAUUAUAACAAAAUAAAAAGAUGUAGUAGUCAAGACCACUUGAACCAACACUUUGAAGUUUUGAAAGGACACAACCACGAUACAAAAAGUAAAAUUUAAUAAUAAUGAAACAUUAUUUAAUAUAAAUUGUAAUCUAACACUUUAAAAUUAAUAUUAAAAUACAAUAACCGGGAACGUGGGAAGAGAUACGUACCCCUGGUUCCUUAAUAAAUUUGUCCAUGUUUAUGGUGUAUACCACGUGCUUAGAGUGUGUUGAUCAAAGAUCCGUCCUUUGGGAUUUUCGAGGGGUUGACCUCGGCAUAGUCUUAGGACCAUGCCACAUUCCUUUCCUAAACCCCCAAUUUAUUUUGGGAUUUUUCUUUUUAGUUCAAAACUUUAUUGCUUCCCUCGUUCUUUCACUCUUCAAUGAGAUUAAUGUCCCUCAGUCCAAAACUAACUAUAACGAUUAUAAUGUCACUUUAUAAUUAUCUAUUUUCUUUUACUAGAUCCACGUUGCUAAGUUCAUUUUCUUUAAUGAAGAGUCUAUCAAUAAUAAAAGUUUAUCAUUGACAUAUUAAAUAGACCACAAGACUUUAGUAUAUUUUAAACUUUUUGAAAAAUAUUAUUACAAUUAAUUAUUAUCCUAAAAUGACUACUUAUCAUAAUUAUCAUUUUCCUUAGAUGUGUUUGUUCCAUUACAAGCACUCCUCACCUUGCCUAUAUCCAAAGUCUCAAUUUUAAAAGUAAAAGACAAUGUAUCUCCAUAGUUUUAAGAGUACCAUUUUCUUUAUAUAUAUAUAAAAAAAAAAAAGAUAAAGUAUGAUAAUAUCAUUUAAAGAAAAAAGGAAAGUAAUCCUAAACAUUAAUGAACAAAUUCCAUAUGAUGCAUAAACUACCAUUUUUGCCCACUAAACCCUUUUCAACAUGAUGAUGUGAAGCUUGGUGGUGGAAAAUGGAAAUAUAUUUUUUUUAAAAAUCUAGAAAUAGGAAAAAGGUUACCAUUGAAAUUGAAACCAAAUGAAAAGGGUCAUAGAAUAAAGUUGGUUACCCAAUUUGUCCCCCACAUUUAUGAGGUUUUGGUGAAUUGAACCUUCUCAGUUCUCACAUCCAUAUCCCCUUCUCCAUCCACAUGAUUUCAUUCCUUUUAAAUCAUUUCAUCCACAUUUAUAUUAAUUAAUUGAACUCUACCAUUCCUCACAAUCGUAGGAAUUUAUUUUGGAUUCACCAUAAAGAUUUUAUUUUUGAGAAACUCUUCUGAUCAAACAAUACAGAAAUUUUCAAAGAAAUAUUUCUUACGACCAACAAAAUAUUUAGAGACCCCUAAAUUAGUUUCUUAGUUCUAAGAAAUUCACCUUAACAAUAACUUUUACAAUACAAAUCACUACAACCGGACUAAAUUAAACUUGAAAAUUGAAAGUUUAGAAUAAGAGUUGAGUUAUCAAAUUCUUCAAACCCCAAAACGUAACAUACUGAGUUUUGAAAUUUUCACCUCCACGUCUCCAGUAAUUUACUAAUUUUUUUUAAAAAAGAUAAUAAUAUAAACCAUUGGUGAAAUUGAUGAAAGCAGUAACAAAGAUAAUCAGAUGGUUCACAAGUCCCAAGGCAUUUAGGAAACGAAAUUUUGUAAUAGAAUUGGGAAUGAUUUGCUUCAAUUCCUAUAGAAAAUUUGACUAAUUCCCCAAUUUUAUGAAUCAAAAAUGAUGAAAAAAGUAAAGAAGAGAAGAAAAGUAGUAUUCUCUGGAAGCUAACAAAAACCAGAGGAUAUAUUAGAGGAGAAAUAAUAGUGUGGAUGGAUGAAGUUAGGAGUCUUGAGAAGAAAACAAAAGGGGGAGGCAGGCACGACUUAGAUGAGCGCUUGAACACCAAAUUGCUGCAUUUCCCUAAUCCUCCAAAUAGCAUGUAAAGCUCCCUCUCCAACUUCUUCAGGAUCCAACAUUUGCAUUGCCCAUGCAUAAUAUACAGUGUGGAUAGUGUCCUGCCAAUAACAAUGCACACAAGAAUUUAAUACAAAAAUAUGAAACACAAGUCAAUGGAAGCCUCCAUCAAUCACAAAUGGGGUGUUUGAAUCUCCAACUUGUCAUGGGUGGGGUCAGCUUUUAUAGGCCACUCAACGUUUAGGUUCCCCAUUGAAGUUCAUAAUUAUUAUUACCAACCGUUAGCUACAGUCAAACUCUUUGAAAAUACUAGAUGUAAUUAAGUAAUUGUCUUCUCUCCUCAUUUGUGAGUCAUAAAUGGUCUUAUACUGUCUAUUAUAACUCACAAACUAUAAUAACCCUUUUAUGAUUAACCUCUCCCACAGGAAAUUGGAAUUACUGAAACCUUGGGACAAGGAAUUGAAAAGUCUCACAUCUCUCUUAGAACUUGUUGGUGGGUUCAAAAGUCAUGCAUAGUUAGAUGACUAGAGCGUUAGUUUAGGACUGAUUUAAAUGAAAUCCUUGGCUAGAACACUAAUCCGGGAUCAUCUCUUGUGUAAUCUAGAAAGUCCCCAAAAAUUGAACCUUAUCUGGCCUUAAAAUUUGAAAGAGAGUAUGGGAAGAUGGUUUUCUUCCCCGGUUGGAUUCUACUAUUCUUUUUUCUCUCAAAUUUUACUUAUAAUAGAUACCACACUGACAAAUUUAUUUUGACGAUGAUUUCAAGCUGUCAAUAAAUACCAAAUUGAUCCUCUUGCACUUCGUUCUUUUAUCCAAAAAAUUUUUGGGGAUCAGAAGUUUAAUAUUUCCUCGGGAUGAUUUUCAUUCUGAUUGUCUUCUAUUCAACUCUAAUUACAUAAGGUGCAUUAGUGUAAGCAGAGACGGAAACAGGAGAAACAUAACUCACCUUACCACCUUCUCUAAUUGAUCCAUUUGCAUCACGUACGCAGUAGACCUGUUGCGUUUGAAACUGUCGAAAUUCAAUAAAAAGGAGUCAGCAUCAUCUCAUCCUACAAAACAAAAUCCAGAACUAUAGAACAAAGACUGCCAGAGCAUACAGCUACAAUGAUAAUGGGAGUGCUUCCCAUCAUCUUGGUCUCCCGCACCUCAACAUCUGAAAUGUGCAGAAUCUGUUUAACAGAGCAGAAAUAAUUACUUUGAAGUCAUAGAAAAAAGCCUUACAUUAAUUAGAAUACCAUCCACCUAGCAAAAUGUGUAGACCUCAAACAAUAACCAAAGCAUAAGGAAGAAGUACUGCAAUUAUGAACACUUCAAUAUAAAAAAAUGAUUAAUAAUAAAAUACUCUGAUGUUUUCUUUUACUCUCGUACUAUUGUUUAAGUGCUUCUUGGUCAAGCACCUAGACCAAAAGGCACUAUCUAUGAGUGUUUUCUAGUUUCUGCAAGAGAAAUACUCGAAUGUAUGGGUCAUACUAGAGACAGAAAUGGUCUUAGAUAAUUAUGAGAUGAUAUCCUUCCUAAUGGAAUAAGAUAAUACUUACUAUUAUUUAGUAUUUCUCUUUUAUUUAAUUGAAGAAUUAAUUGGAAAAUAAAACAGCAAGUACAAAAAUGAGUAAUAACCCCCCAGUAAAGACUAGUAUGAUUCAAUUUAACAUUUUGUUUGGUCUCUCGACAUGAUGAUAAUUUUUACCUAAGUGCUUCUGCUUUACCUAGAGUGCUUCUAGCCAGAAUGCAAUUAUUAACACGUGACAGAGUUUCCACAUAUGACUGUAUUCUCUCAUUGUUGCCCAUUAUGUAAAGCUGCCGAUGAAACACCAGCCAGUUCAUGAGUUGCCAUUUUGCUGAAAAAUUUAGGAAGCAGAUCUCUCUCCUUUGGUUGAUCUGCCACCCUACCAAACAAGAUUAUGAACCUCCUUUUAUGCACCCUCCCUGACACCCUUUACUGACUUAAGUAGAAUUGUGUGGAUGAACAGGAACAGUCGCCUCCUUAGUAAGAAGGCAGGCCUUAAGAUAGGUUUUUUAUUUUUAAAAAAAAUAUAAUCUAUCCUGCUAUGACUUAGUGCAAUUUUUCAUGUUUCUAUAGCUCUUCCAAUCUCUAUUCUCGCAUCUCUUCGGACUGAUUGGAGAAAUUUCUUGUAAACUCUAUUGGUGUGGGUGUUCCACCAAACCUUUUGUAAAUUUUAAGAAAAAUAAGGGGAAGAAACUACGUUUUAGAGAAAGAUGGCUCUAAAGCGCACACAAACACUCUCCAUCUCACUCUCUAUCUGCCCUGUUUCCAACAGCAUUCAUUUGGGGUAUUGUAGGUUCAUAUUAGAAAAUAGUCAUUCAUGUUUUGAUGCAAAAGCCCUUUUAUGUAUCUAAAACUAAAAUCACGAAAAUCAUCAUGGACAUGCAGCACUACAAACUGAAUUUCCACGGGAAACCUUUGCUGACAAAAUGGUAGACAAUAAAUACUCAAACAGGAGAGAAAGACUAUAAAUAAUUGACAGCAGUACACAUCAAUAUAGGUGCACAACCACCAAGCCCCAAACAAAAGAAACAAUAAACUUCAAUAACAAAAGAAAGGUAGUAUCAGGACUAUCCUUACCUUGUUAUCGAAGAAGAUACCUUGGCUCUGGUAAGCUCGAUGCUCUGCUUUACAACGUUCAAUUACCUCAGUACUGCAGUGUUUCUUCAAAGUUUCAGAAUCUCCCUGAAACAUGAAUAUAUAUUACAACUUGAAAACCUCCAUGUCAGAAACUUCACUUUAAUUAUCAAACCAGAUGCUAUGCAAGAAUUAGUAAGCAGAAAUACAACAUAAAUAGUAACGAUAUUCUUUGGGGAGGAGAUAAAAGCAUCUUUCAUCUUAGAAAUAAGCUUAGCAGUUAGCAUUAACCUUUAUAUAGGAAGUUAACACCGGUUUGAUUACUUCUUGAACUUCAGCUACAAAAUCUGGUAAAGAGAAAGACCUAAUCCAUAAUGUUAAAGAGGAAAGACCAAGUCAGAUUCCUUUAUUCAAACAGGUUAGUAUCACUGCUCCAAAUGAAAAAACUUACGGAUCUCUACGACGAAUUUCCUUGAAUGAUGUAGCAGCAUCUGAUUCUUGAAACACGGUUUCAUUUAUGCUGUGAAAAAUAAGAUCGAUAAAUAAAACUUUUGGCUACAAUUAGCCACAGAAACAUAAAGCCGUGACAGAAAAACAAAAGCUAACAUAUAAUUAGAAAUACAGUUAGUAGGCAAAAUACCAAAUAACUCAUAAUCAAGAUCACAACUCAAGCAGACAAUAAUGUGCAGUUUAUCAUUUCCAACCAAAUAAUUCAAUAAUAAAUAAGGUUAAAUGGCCAAAUAAUAUGGCCUUUCACAUAAAUACUUACUCCUGAAUUUUUUGAACGAUAAUGUUAUCGCUUGUCUCCCACGUUUCACGAAGGCCCUCAGCCAUCUGCCAAUUCCAAUAUAAGAAAAUUAUUUUACAUAUUAUAUUAAACAUUGAAAAUUCUUUUACAUAUUAUAUAUUUUUCUACAUAUUCCUAUUGAAGAAUCUCAUUUCAGCAUUUUGUCGUCAAUUUGACUUGAAAGGAACAGCAGAACUUUCAAUAAGAAGGAAGCAGGAUACCCAGUUUUUUUGAACUGCUGUUUCUUUUCUCUUUUUUUUGCUUUAACUUCGCUGUAAAUUGGAGAUGUUUUCCAUAACUACUUCGGUUUGGAGCUCUCUCUCUACUCCUUAUGUAAUUUCAAGAAAUUGUUGAUCGUUUUUUAAAAUAAAAAAUGUAUAACCCCAUCCCCAGCAGUAAGCACGUUAAAUGAAACUUAGCAGCAGACACGAGACUUUAUAGAAGAAAUAAUAAUAUAGCACAAGAAUUGGAUACACAUACCUCCUGACUUCUUGAAAUUACAGGUUCACUAUAGCCUGUAACACGCUUGUAUACGGGAUGGCCUUGCAUCUAAAAGAAGAAAGAAAAUGGAAAGGGGCUGAUUAUGUUAAAAAGAAAAUAAUACUUCAAAUGAUUUUCUAAUGAUACUCCAUAAGGCUAGCAACUUAUAAAAUUUACCUUCUCCCUGAAUGCCUCCCACUUCUUACUCCAUCGAGACUGCUUCGAUGGCAAAACAACAACAUCGGUUCUUGUACUUCUUUCAACUUUUGGUGAGGCUGAAGCCUCAUAUUCUAAAUGCUUUUUCUUAUGUGGUUUUCCACUCAACUCAUCCUUUACAAUUUCACAUCCUCUCUUUGCUAAGUCAAUUAACUUUGUGCUUUUCAACCGUUCAAAUGCAGAGGAUAUACCAGGUGAAGGAAUGCUGGACUUAAAUUUUCCAAAAAAUGUUUCGGAGGAUCCACUAGAACCAGGAUGUUGGUCUUUGGCAUUCUCAGAACUGGCCUCACUUCCAUGUUUUUUUGCAUCAGCACCAUGAUCAGUUGAGGAACAAGUAGAUCCAGAAGAGUUUUUUGGACUGAAUCCAAAAGCUUCUUUUACCUGGGUCAAAUAUUGUUGAAAUAUUAAUACCAAGGGUAUGGUUAUAUAUGUGUUUGACUGACGUAUCACAUAAAACACUAACCUCCUCCGUGGCAGCAGAUAGUUUCUCUUUGACAUCUGCGGAAACCUGAAAAAAUUAAAAUCAAUACGUUGUAUAGGUUCUGUUCCAUGAAAAAUUAAAAUAAAACUUUAAAAUUCGUGCGAGUUGGAAAAUGUAUUAACUCAAGCAUGAUGUACAAACUUGAAGCUACUUAAAUAUUUAUUCACCAUCACAUACAAACAGCAAUUAAAUACAGGUAGCAUGUAAAUAAAGGGAGAAUCACCUUUCUAGCAGUAGCCUCAGCCUCAGACCAAACGCCAUCCACCUGCUUGUAAAUCUGCUCAGUUGUCUGCUUUGUUCUGCAUUCGCCAUUUCACCGUCUCAGGCCAUCCAUUGAAGUGGCCACCCAGCCUUGACAUACAAGGGUAUGUCUCAGCCUGUUAACAAAUACCACUAAAACUAUGCAAGACAAAGAAAAAAGUUCUCAAAAGAUUACCUAACUUUUAGGUCUUCCUUCACACCUUUAAGUUCUUCUGCCUUCUCCUUCAACUCUUUGACAGAUUGUUGAAAUUCUGUGUUUCUGCAAUGUUUCCCAGAAUGUGAAACACUCAUUACGGAAAUAAAUACCAUGAAUACAAACCAUGAAGAAACAGUAAAACAGUCGAUACAAGAAGCAAGUGGAAGCUCAGAAGUCAUACGUGUAGUUCCUAAUAUAUAACAGUCAACCACUAUUAGGAAAGACAUUAAAAAAGAACAGAUUCGUGCUUUUUACUAAUUGAGCAAAGGAUCUUUCUUCAAUUGAACAUAAUACCAGGGCUUGACCUUUUUUUUUUCUUUUGGCCCAUUAUCUCUAUUUCUUCAAUUAUCCAUUGCCUAAUGUUUUUUUCCACAGGAGUCUUGUCCAGUCACGCAUGAGAGACAAAAACAGAUCAUUUGUAGCUAAAUGGAUUUGGAAGUAUCAAAAGGAAGAAAAAUUCCUUCACAGGCAGAUUAUUGAUGUGAAAUAUGGCAAAUAAUUUUUUAACUCUAGGCCCAUAAACUAAGGUCAAUUAGCAUCUCAAGGUUGAUGAUUCAACUCCCACCCUUGCAAUUGUUUGAACCAAAAAAAACUUGGCCCUAAGCAGAAUCUCAAGCCUCUGUAAAAUGCCUGGGAAAAUUAUUUUGAAACAUCAAAGUCUUACCCAAUACAGAGUUUAUCAACAAACUUGGCAAUAGGGAAAACAGCCAAACACCCCCUUUUGACAUUAUAGUUGGCUGUAGGAUAUUCCCUUCGCUUCUCAGUAUUCCCUCUCUUAAACUCCUUAUCAAUGUAGAAAAUGUCCCUUAUCAAGAAUCAUGGUUUGCCAAAUUUUGAAAUUGGAACCUGAGACCAAGGAGAGAACUCAAUAAGGCUAUAAUUGAGAAAUGCAUCGGUCUCUAAAACCUAUUAUCUGCCAUACAUUUGACUCGCACAAGUGUCCUUUGGCUAUGAAAGUUGGAGUGCAGAGGAUCUUCACAACAAAAUCCCUUAUAAAUGACAUUGGUCGAAAGUUAGGCUAUCAUUAGUGCCUCAUAGAUGGAUCAAUAAGAAAGAAUCUGACAUGCCAAAAGGUCUCAUUUUUCAUGUGGGAACUAGUCACAAAGCCAUUAACACGUCAGGUAAACUUUUGGGUCUACUGCCAGACAUAUCCCUAUCCUCUCACAGCUGCCCAUCUGCCAAAAUGAUUCAAAAACACAAAACAAACUUCUACUAAGAAACCAGGACACUUUAAUUUAGCUAGUGUGUCCAUCUCCAAAAUGUGUCAGGCAUUUAGACACUGACACUUUUUGGACACAUAUUGAACACUUUUUAGUCCACUAAGACAUUUGUUGGACACAAACAAUUUCUCUGAUGGGAAAAAAAAGUUGUGUGGAUGCAUCCAGUUUGAGCGGUUUUUUGGCCACAUGGACCAAGAAAAUCCGAAGAGUUUUAAAUGAAAAGGAAAAUCUUUUGAUAUAUUUUCCUAAUUAUGAAGUUUCUUGCUUGUAUCUUAUUGCAUAAUUUUUAUAGAUCAAGAAUCAGGCUUGUUUAUUCUUGAGAAUCGAGUUAGGUUGUAUGCUUCUUGGUGUAUUCAUUCCAAAGUCUUAACUAUAGUCUAGGUUCAAAUUCAUGCCAGCUAGAGCCUUCUUUGUAACCCCUUGGUGUAGUGGGGAGAUUAUCUCCCCUCACUUUUUGUAUUACCUCUUUUUAUCAUUAUCAAUAUAUUUCUUGUUUGUUUCCUACUAAAAAAAUCAAUGAAGAUUUGAGUUUCUUCUAAAAAGAACUAAUCAAUCAUUGCAAGGGGAAAUACUAUAUUGGUAGAUAUUUAUGUCUACUCAACCAAGUGGCUAGUUUAGUUGCUCUCAUUGACCCAAACUGCUGGUUUUAGCUUCAAGGUCAGGUAGAAUCCUUGACAAAGCAAAACUAACCUGCACUUCCACACUGAGACAUGUGACAAAUCAAUAGAUUCGUCUCUUCAAAAAUAUAACGUCGGUCAAAUUUAUCCAGCUUUAAUAAAUUCCAUCAAAAUAGUAAUCAGUUCACAUGCAUUUGCACUUGCUUUGUUGACUAAAUAAACACUGCAGAAAAGUUGAAACAAAUAUACAUGCAAGAAUAUAUUAUAAUUCUAAAGGAAAGGGAAGAUACUUGUCAGCUUCUCCUUUCACUUUCUUUGAGAACUCGUUGAAUACACUGAAUCUACGAUUGAUGGAAUAACCACUUGGUAAUAGCAAUUGUGAUCUCGUGCAGGAGCUCUACCACACCAAAAUGCAACCAUAAAUCAAACAAACUAGAUGAAUAAAUUUACACCACAGAAAUCCAUCCUAUGCAGACUACAGCGGAGAAAGAUGGGUUAAGGAUAAAGCAUAGGAAGAACAAAUACCCCAUGGGAAGUAAACUGAUAAACAAUACUUUGUCUUGAGAGUAAUAUAUCCCGAACCAAUUUUCUGCCAGCCAUUAAGAUUUACCCCCUGCAACUCUGCACACAAAUUUUUUCUUAUGAACAAAUAAUUAACACAAUCUAAUUGGUAUCAUAUGGAUAUAAAAGACAGCAUGGAUCCAUAUUUUCCUGAAUGAAGUAAGAAUUUAACACAUGAUUCAAGUUUUGAGGAAUGUUGUGAUGUUAAAAGAACGUAUAGGUAUUACUAAAAGACCUGAAAUAAGAAAAUAAAUCUCCAUGAAACCACAAAUAUUCGAUUUAAAUGUAGUUCUAUAGAUGAGGUAAAGCUACUUCAAAUCUUUAAAUUAUAAUGCUAUUGUAAAUAACCAACAGAAAGUUGAAUAUAUUGAAUUAAUAAUAAAAGAAGAAUUUUGGAUUUCGUGGUCAAAUUCUACCUUUUAGAACCCUGAAAUUGGAAGGAUUUCAAAUUAGUCUACGAACAAAGAACUUGGAAGCAUUUGUUAUAUGCAUUGAAGGUUUCAUCCAUACGCAAGCAAGCAAACUCGACAUAAGUUUUCUAUUUUAUUUGUACAUUGUAUUUUCUGUUUUUUAAAACUAAUACCAAUAAUUUCAAUACUGCUUCCAAAUUCCAACAAAUUUUUUAUAGCUGAGCAAACUACAUAAAGCUGAGUUUUCCCUUCGUUGCUUCGUACCAUUUUUUUUUUCAAUCUAUUUAUCGAUUCGGAUAAGAAUAAUCUGUUUUCUCCAUUGCAAUUUGUAUUCAAUCUAUAUCAUAAUCAGUGAUGUACAACUUUAGUUACAUAGUUUUCAUUAGCAUGGGUUGAUGAAGAAAUCAACAAAGUAUACUCGAAAUGAACCUCUGAUAAGAAAUCAACACAAGCUAACGAAACAACAAAAAAUAAUAAAAACCUUAGGUAUAUUAAAAUGAAUGGUGAUGUGCGAGAAGGGCGGUGCGAGCUCACCGAUGGCACGGAUUAGGGCCUGAAAAAACAACAGAGAUAAGCAACUAUGGUUGCUAGGAGAGGCGAGAGGUGAAAGUGCAGAGUGCGGUGGCGGUGGCGGUGGCGGGGGCUGAGAUUAUGCCGGGUUGGAGCGGCGUCCGGCGAGCGGCAGUGCAGUGGAUUGUAAUGGGAGGGAGGGGGUGGGUGAGCUUGAAAUAGGGUUUAGAGAAAUUAAAAGGGUGAGUUUUACUUUUACGUACGGAGAAGGAAGACUUGGGGAGAAGGAAAUAGAAAAAGAAAAUGCAACACUUUUUUUUAUUAUUAUUAUUAUUAUUAUUACAACAUUAUGUAAUGAUUGAGAGUAUAUGUUUUAUGUAUAUUUGUAAGUUAAAGUAUUGUUUGUGUUUGGUUAAAUAUAAGUUAGUUGUAAAGUAGUGUUUAUUUCUGUCUUGGUAUAGAAAAUUUUGGGAUAAGGAAAUAAGUGGGUGCAUACCACCACAUUCCUUUGUUUCUAACCCAAACAAGUUUUUGAAAGAGAAAAUCGUCCGAAUAGUAAAUUCUUAUAUAGCAAACUGAAAAAUAGAAAAAGUCGAAAAUAAUAAGAUUUUCAGCAAAUUGACUAUGUCUACUUUUAUUCUUUCCAUUAUUUGGAGAUUAUUUAAAUGAGUUCUAAAUUUGUGAUUUAAACUUUAAAUUUAUGUAAAUCUUUCGUGAUAUUUUUUAUUUUCACCUAUACAAGAAGAAUCUCGUAUGUGUUACCUCAACAAAAGAACAAGAGGAAGAAUUUCUUAUGUGUUACCAAAUUUGUUAAAUAUCACAUGAAAUUAAAAGGUUAGUAUCCCUAAGAAGGAAAGAAAAAGUGGAGCGAAUGUGAAGGAAAAACAGGGAUUGUGAGUAAAACCGCAAAGGCCAUUGGCAUUGAGAAGGUUAAAUGAUAGAAUCCAAGAAAUUGUAAGUUCUACCCAAAUUUUUUAUUAAUUAACUUGGAAAUAUCUCCACUAUAUUUAGUUUUAUAUAUUCUAUUAUCCUAUUAAUAGAUGUGAGGUUUACAAAGCACUUAUGUUUUCAAUUUUGUUAAGAUGUUGCUAUAUUUCUCAAAACUGGAUCAUGUGUUAAAUUUGUACUUCAUUCACAAAAAUAUGGAUCUAUGUUGUCUUUUAUAUCCCGAUGAUACCAAUUAUAUUGUGUUAAUUAUUGUUUAUAAGAAAAAAUUUGUGUGAAAAGUUGCAGUGGGUAAAUCUUAAUGGCCGGUAGAAAAUUAGUUCGGAUAUAUUACUCUCAUGACAAAGUAUUUUUUAUUAGUUUACUCUCAUAGGGUAUUUGUUCUUCCUAUGUUUUAUCCUUAUCCCAUCUUUCUCCACAGUAGUCUUCAUAGGAUGGAUUUAUGUGGUGUAAAUUUAUUCAUCUAGUUUGCUUGAUUUAUGGUUGCAUUUUGGUGUGGUAUAGCUCCUGCACAAUAUCACAAUUGCUAUUGCUAAAUGGUUAUCCCAUCAAUCGUAGAUUCAGUGUAUUCAUCGAGUUCUCAAAGAAAGUGAAAGGAAAAGCUGACAAGUAUCUUUCCUUUCCUUUAGAAUUAUAAUAUAUUCUUGCAUGUAUUUUUGUUUUUAACUUUUCUACUGUGUUUAUUUAGUCAACAAAGCAAGUGCAAAUGUUCUAUUUUGAUGUAAUUUAUUAAAGCUGGAUAAAUUUGACCCACGUUAAAUUUUUUAAGAGAUGAAUCUAUUGAUUUGUCACAUGUCUCAAUAUGGAAGUGCAGGUUAGUUUAGGUUGUGUCAAGGAUUCUACCUGCCCUUGAAGCUAAAACUAGCAGUUUAGGUCAACGAGAGCAACUAAACUAGCCACUUGGUUGAGGAUACAUAAAUAUCUACCAAUGUAGUAUUUCCCCUUGCAAUGGUUGAUUAGUUCUUUUUAGAAGAAAAUCAAAUUUUCAUUGAUUUUUUAAAUAGGAAACACACAAAAAAAUAUAUUGAUAUUGAUAAAAAGAGGUAAUACAAAAAAGUGAUGGGAGAUAAUCUCCCCACUACACCAAGGGGUUACAAAGAAGGCUCUAGUUGGCAUGAAUUUGAACCCAGACUAUAGUUAAUUAAAACUUUGGAAUACACUAAGAAGCAUACAACCUAACUCGAUUCUCAAGAAUAAACAGGCCUGAUUCAUGAUCUAUAAAAAUUAUGCAAUAAGAUACAAGUAAGAAACUUCAUGAUUAGGAAAAUAUUUUUCCUUUUCGUUUAAAAUCCUUCGGAUUUUCUUGAUCCAUGUGGCCAAAAAACUACUCAAACUAGAUGCAUCCACAAAACUUUUUUCCAUAAGAGAAAUUGUUUGUGUCCAACAAAUGUCUUAGCGUACUAAAGUGUGUCCAAAAAGUGUCGGUGUCUAAAUGCGUGACGCAUUUUGGAGAUGGACACACUAGCUAAACUAAAAUGUCCUGGUUUCUUUAGGAGAAGUUUGUUUUGUGUUUUUGAAUCAUUUUGGCUAAUGGACAAUUGUGAGAGGAUAGGGAUAUGUGUGGCAGUAGACCCAAAAGUUUAUUUGACGUGUUAAUGGAUCUUUUGACUCUAGUUCCUACAUGAAAAAUGAGACCUUUUGACGUGUCAGAUAUUUUCAUAUUGAUUCAUCUAUGAGGCACUAAUGAUAUCCUGGCUUACGACCAAUGAUAUUUAUAAGGGAUUUUGUUGUGGAGGAUCCUCUGCUCUCCAACUUUCAUAGCCAAAGGACUCUUGUGCGAGUCAAAUGUAUGGCAGAUAAUAGGUUUUGGAGACCAAUGCAUUUCUCAAUUAUAGCCUUAUUGAGUUCUCUCCUUAGUCUAAGAUUCCAAUUUCAAAAUUUUGGCAAACCAUGAUUCCUGAUAAGUGACAUUUUUCUUCAUUGAUAGGGAGUUUAAGAGAGGGAAUACUGAGAAGCCAAGGGAAUAUCCUGCAGCCAACUAUAAUGCCAAAAGGGGGUGUUUGGUUGUUUUCUCGAUUGCCUAGUUUGUUGAUAAACUUUGUAUUAGGUAAGACUUCGAUGUUUCAAAAUAAUUUUUCCAGGCAUUUUACAAAGGCUUGAGAUUCUGCUUAGGGGCCAAGUUUUUUUUAGUUCAACAAUUGUAAGAGUGGGGUUGAAUCAUCAACCUUAAGAUGCUAAUUGACGCCUAGAAUUAAAAAUUAUUUAUCAUAUUUCACAUCAAUAAUCUGCGUGUGAAGGAAAUUUUUUUUCAGUGUUGAUAAUUCCAAAUCCAUUUAGCUACAAAUGAUCUGUUUUUGCCUCUCAUACAUGACUAGACAAGACUCCAGUAGAACAAGACAUUAGGCAAUGAAUAACGAAAGAAAUAGAGAUUAAGGGUCAAAAGAAAGAAGAAAAAAAAUCAAACUCUGGUAUUAUAUUCAAUUGAAGAAAGAUCCAUCGCUCAUGCAGUAAAAAAGCAUGAAUCUAAAUCAAAAGUAUUUACGCUUUCUUUUUUCUGGUAUGAAUCAACAAGUGCACAUAUGAGGACUUCUUUUUUUCAAUUUCUUUUUUUUCAGUAAAGUAGAUUAAGCACCGUAAGUAUUUUCGAUUUUAUUUAUCCUUUGUUUUUCAAUGUUCACUUUUAUUUCUUUCUAAAUUUAUGAGUUACUAAUUCAAAUUAACUUCAAUACAGAUAAAAUCCUAAUAUUGUAUGCGAUAAAGCUUAGUGUGUGCAUAAGAAAGAGUUACUGGGUUGUCAGCUAGCACUUGAUGCUUGAUAUUGGUUUCUCCCGUUUAUUUUGAGCAAGAGUGAGAUCAACCAUUGAUCAAAGGGAGAUGAAGAGUAAGAUAGAAAUCAAUUUAUGAAAUCUUGAAUCGAACUACAACUCAAAUUCAAGAUUAAAAACGCUGGACUUUACAAAUUUUCAUGAGUCGUUGAUGGUAUUCAGUAGAAAUAGAAGGAGGAGGAGUUUAAUAAAUGAAUAAGAAAUAAAGAAGAUGAGAAUAUACAGCGAAGAAAGAAGACCCAACAAAGUAUAGUUAAUAUAUGAAUAGUAAAUGACAAAGUCGAUGUUAAACCAAUGUGUAUAAUAAGACCAAGGGAAGGGCAAAGUACGUAAAAAUAAAUCAGUGGAUUCCACAUAAUUUAUCAAUAGUAAUCAGGUUACCAUAUCGUGUGGAGUAAUUGCAAAAAUGAGGUUCAAAGGUACUAUGGUAUGGUAUGUCCUAUUUGGGUACAGUGCCUUGCAUUCAUUAUAUAAUUAGAACUAAGAGGUUGAUAAUUAAUACUACAAAUAUAUUAUAUUAAAAAGGAAAAUUUUAUUGCUAUAGUUCUUGUUGUUUUUUUAGAACGCUAACGAUUAAAAUGAACGUGUAAAGAGUUUUCUAUUUGAUAUAUGUACCAAGAUACGUAGAAAUUUUAAUAGACCUACCAUUAAAUAAGAUGAUUGUUAUAUGAUCAUUUUAACGAUUAAGAUGUUUGUGAUUUAAUUCUCCACAUUUUUAUUGUACUAAAUAAGACAUUCUUAUCACGUUAUUAAUGACGAUUAUAAAAAUAUGAAAAAUCAAGUAAAGUAAUAUAUUUGAUAGGUUUCGAUAAAAAAAAACAGAUGAUUAAAGUUAAAUCCAAACAUAUUAUAUACUUAAUACAUAUUAAUUAAUAAAUGAUUUUUCAUUAUUAACUAUUAAUAUUACACAAUAAAGUAUUUAACAAAUGUUAUAGAAUAAAGAAGUAACUCAAAACAAUACAAUAUAACAUUGAUUUCAAAGGUAUGUUAAUCAUCAAUUUUUGACCGCAUGUUUAGGCCACGAAUGAUUUUAAAAUGUUAAACUUGAUCAUUUUUGUUAUUUUAGGAAUUAUUGUGAAAUAUGUUUUCAAUCUUUUAAAAUUAAUGUUGAUGAUAUUAAAUUCACAUCUGAGAAUGUAAAACAAAAUAUUAUAUUAAAUUGGAAUACCAAAAAUAUAUUUUACGAUUUUGAAUCGGAUAAAACAUGUACUAUUACUGAUGAUUUUUGUUAUGUUGACCAACUUCAACACUAAUAAUAAAAGAUGAGAUUAAUGAGAAAAAAAACAUAAAAAAAAAAGUAUUCACAUCUUUUAAUAAUAUCGAUCGCAACGGUCUUUUUAAAGUGUACGAGAAAUAUAUUAUUAUUUAGCGUCAAUAUUGUUUUUAUAUUUGGUUGGCAUUUGAGUCUCGGUUGUGCUUAUUAACCGACAACCUCAACUCAUAACAUUCAUAAAUUGAUUAAUCAAAGUUAUUAAUUUGAUUGAUUUUAGUAUAUGAAUGAUCGAUUGUUUAGUCUAUAUUCUUGUUUAAUUAGUUGAACUUUCAAUUUGAUUAGAUGAACAUAGUUAUCAAAUAUAAACAGCAACCCUAUCAAAUUAAUAUUUUGAAAAAGGGCUAAAUCAACCAGAAACUGCCCCUUCUAACACAUUAAAUAAAGACAAGCAAUUGUUUUGAAUUUUUUGCCAAACUAACAUUGACCUAGGAGAUUUUUUUAUAUAAAUAACCUAAAUUUAGUUGCAUUAAUGUGAAGAUAAUAUUAAUUCUAAAAUUAAUACAAAUUAACAUUUUACUUGCAAUCUCAAAUAACUGACUAUAUAUAGUUAAAUUUUCAAUGGAUGAUAAUUAGAAAUGGAUGAGUUGUUGAAUAGAUAACUCAUAAGAUCAAUAUCGAGAAUGAGAAAGAAUUUGUAUUCUAUAAAGUUGCUAUCCAUUUUGAAAUCACACUUGAAAUCUGAUUGAUUCGACUAUAAUUAAACUCUAAAGAGAAUUAAGCAUUGGAUGGUGUUUUGUGUUCCUAAAUUUGAUUCAUUUAACAUUAAAUACAACAAAAUAAAAAAAUCGACCCGGUGGCUCAAUCUUUAAAUCUAUUUUAUAUAACACUAAAAUUAAAUAAAUACCCAAUUCUUUGUUCCUGUUUAAAUUAAUUUAUGAUAAAGGAACGAAAAUAAAACUCAUCAAUUUUCAAAUGGUAUUUCUCAUGAGUUGAUAAAAAUGCACACAUAUUAAUUACUAAAGGGACGCAUACCUAAUAGUGUACUAUAGUAGAAGUUUAAUUUGUGUAUAAGUUUAUUGUGUUAUUAUACCAACCUCAUACCUUAAUUAAAAAUAUUCACUUAGUAUCAAUAUAACAAACUUAAACAUAAUUCAAUUGAUUAAAAUAUAUACAUUCAUUCAACUACUAUUCAUAUAUUUAUGCGUCUAAGUAGCGUGCAAACCGCACUAACAUACCAACUCAAAUUAUUGGUUUAAAUCGAGCAUGUAAAUCAAUAAAAUAAAGUACACACCCAAAAGUACAUUUAAACCGUCAAAGCAUGAUGCUUUUUUUCUUUCAAUUUGAUCAUCCUUGUUUCAUGAAACCAAUUACUCUACUUAUUAUAUGUUAUCAUACAAUGACGAAUUUUUUAAGGGAUCAGAGGACGUCCCCUCACAUUCUCUUAAUUUUGAAAACCACUGGGUUCUUGGUUAAAUUCUAUCUUAUGACAAUAAUUUCCUUCCCCAAAUCAUUUACUAAAAGUUUAAUGACUUUUUUAAAAAUCUCAUAAAACCCUACCUAAUUUUCUAUAAUUUCUAAAUCUACAUAUUUACAUUACAAAAGGUAUUUCUUUAUUGUUAAAAAUGUAGUUAAUGUUAUGGGAGCAUUAGUGAAACAUCAAUUUUUUUUUUUCAACAUUUUUUAGUAUGUUUAUUAUAUAGUGUCUGAUAUCCCUUAGAUAAAAUUUAUAGAUCUGUCACUGCUACCAUAUGUCAUAAUUUAUUAGACAAAUCAAUAGCUACAACAACUAUUGAAUAAGGUGACUAUUAUGUUCUCGAAUUUAUAAUAAAGUUCAAUCAAACAAAAUAUAAGUUGAAUAUGUGUGUAUUAUAUACAUAUUUGAAAUUCAAUAGUUAGAAAGUGGAAUUUUAAAAAUGGAAAAUACUUUGAGAGUCUUCUAAAAUUAAAAAAUGGAAAAAGAAAGAAAAAAUUAAACCAAGUACCAUGUUUGUUAGACAUUUUACUUUUUCUCUUUUUUUAAAAAAAUUAUAUUCUUUUAGAUAAGUAUUUUACUUUUGUAAAAAAAAAUGAAAUUUAGGCAAAAUUAAAAGAAAAAGAAAACUUGAUUUUAAUUUAGCUUUGAUAUUUGCAAAAGAUGUUUUUGAAAAGUAUGUAAUAAAACAAGGGAAUAUAUUGAGAAAAAUGAUGAAUGUAAGUUUAAUUUUCAAAUACAUAAAAUUAAAAAUGGGACCUAAAGGAACACAUUUGAGAUUUGUGUCUAUUUUAUUGAAAAUUUAAAAUUUUUUAUAGAAUUUUUUAAAAUAGAAAUUGUUUGACAAACUAUUUAUAUUUCAAAAAAUAAAAUGAUUAAAAAAACAAAAAAUUUCAAGUUCAUUUUUAUAAAAAGUGUAAAUAUUACAAUUUCUCUUAUUUAAAAUAUUAUAGAGACACAAACAUAAUAGUUGCAUUAACAUAAAUUCUAAACUUAUAUUCAAUAACACUCUUUAUUUUUAUAUAUAAACAAAUUGAAUCUAUCAGUAAGAAUAGAAACAAUGACGGACAAAAUAACAAUAUUUGAGUUAAAAAUAAUAACGUUUGGGUCAAAAUUUAAAUUCAUGUGCUCAAUCUCUAUUGGUAAAAAAUGAAAUAAAGCACGACUAUUAGUGUUGAUAAGUAACAUAUCUAUCCUACAGUAAUUCCAAAAUCUUAACAAACAUCUAUUGAAAUACGUCGUUAUAAUCUGAACGAGAUAACUUAAAUUAUAUUAUAGUUUUUCCUUUUUUCACCAUUGAACUAAAAUCUGAGAAUGGGUAGGUAACAAGCACAGGACAACAAUUCCACGUUCUCUUAUCCCAAUUUUGACAUCAAUACUAUUAAAAACAUAAAAAUUUGAAGGAACUAAAUAAAGAGAAAUCUCAUAUUAAUAACAAAAUUUGCCAUGAAAUGGUGAGAAAGGAGGAAAGAAAAGGAAAACCUUUGGUAGACAAUCCACGUUUUAAUCUAUGGGUACCAACCUAAAGUGACAAAGUAGAGUUAGUAAAUGACUUUUGUAGGGGUAAAGAGGUAAUUUAAAGCUCUAGUCAAAGAAUAUGAACAAAAAAAUGGUAUUAAUAUUAAAUACUAUUUAUUAAUUAAUAGUAGAAUUUUACUGGGAAAAUGAACCAACUUUUUUUCCUCUCUUCUCUUUCUUCAACAUUCAAUAAAUUUCUCUUUUCAAUUCAAAGUUUUAGACUAAAAAAAUAUAAUGAAACCCCAAAAAGAAGAAAAUAAGAAAAAUAAAACCCCCAAUUCCCAACGCUCUCAAAAAUCCUCUCCGAAUUCCCUUCUUCAAUCAUUACAAGAUUUUCAAAUUCCAUUCCAAAACUCCAUCCAUCGAUUCAAUAAUUCUUCUUCCUCUGACCUUUCUCCAUGGCGUCGCUUCUCAAAUUCAAGCUCCUUCCGACGCACUGCGGCGUCGCUCAGAGUCCUACUUUAAGCCCUAGGACCAGUCCUCUCGUUCACCUCCGCCGUCGGAAAACCACUCUUCGGAUGCUUCUCACUCGGAAUUCCGGCCGUCGGUCUCCUCGUCGCCGCUCCUUACCGGAGAAUAAGAACAGAGACGACCGUAAGGGUUUGUCGCGGAGUAACACGUUGAAGGAUUUGUUCGUUUCCUCGCCACCGUAUCUUGGAACUGACUGUGAUGUUCACCAGACGGCGGUCACGGCUCCAACCCGGAACGUGACUCCAGUUUGUGAGAAGGAGAAGGAGGAGGGUCACGUUGGAUCACCCGGUUGGAAUCCCGGUUCCCCUAGACCGGGUUGGACCGGUUUCCGAUAUAAAUACUUGCUUCGGAAAACUUGGCGGCCGGUGCUCGUCGGAAUCCCCGAGUAAUGGAUUCUCUUUUUUUUUUUUUUUUUUUUUAGUUUUAAAAGAAAACAUCUUUUAAUUAAUUUAAAAAUAUAUCUAAUCUAAUAUUUCUAUGUUUUUUUAGUAUAGAUUUCAAUCUUUACUUAAAAUAGGGAUGGGGGAAAGGAUUAAGAUCUUAAUCAAGUGGGUUUGGGGAAAUAAUAAUUUGUUGCUAUGGAAAAUUAUGAAUAGAUUUCCCAUGAGUGGGAAUUUGCUUAUUUUUCUGUUCAAUUUUACGCUUGUUUAGUUUUUCUAAUCAUAUGUUAAUUAGUCAAAUUAACUCUAUACAAUUCGUAGUACCAAAUUUAAGGCUUAAACCUUGAUUGAUUUUCUUGAUUGUUUUAUUAUAUAGUUUAUGAAGUUGUAUUUAAAAUCUUGUUCUUAACUUUGUAUGGUUUAGUUGGAGUGAGCAAAUCCUAAACCAAAUCUUUGAUUGACCCCACUUUGACCAUAGUCAAGAAUAGUUAGUGAAAUUUGAGUUAACAAAUCUACUAGUGGCUUAACUCGAUUUUAAAAAAAAAAAAUUGAUGAAGAUUGUCAUCCAUCGGUUCUUUUUAUAUCCUAAGUAUCGUUCUUCCACAAAUUUGUGGACUUCCAAAUCUAGAAAUUUUAACACCUUCCAUCCCAUAGUUGGGGGAACACGUCGUCCUCUUGUAUAUACUAUCAUGCGAGUGUUUUCAGUGCACAUGCUCAACCCACCUAAUGCCUUCAUUUUAUGUGUGUACAUCCGUUGAACAUUCAUGUGCACACGUACAAUGGGUUGUUGGUUGAACAUGCAUGGAGCAUCGGGUGGACAUCAUGUGGACUAUUUGGAUUUUGUACUAGGUGGUAGGUUACUCAAAAGUUGAAGUUCUUAUCAAAUAACAAAUCGUUCGUAUAAAUAUGGAAGUGUAAUCAUGUUUGGCAUAAAUUCUAUUUAGAAACUAUUAACUUUUGAACUCAUUAUUAUUAUUAUUAUCAUCAUCAUCAUCAUCAAUGAUAUGUGUUCUAAGGCCACACUUUAACGAGUUUGACCGUUAAGUUUCCAAAAGAAUAUUCAAAUUUCUAUUAAAGUGACCCAUUAAAGAAUUUAAUCAAAUAAAGGUUAAAAUAGUACUGAGAGGAAGUUUAAGAUUCAAAAUAUGAGAUCUAAAACUAAAAAAGCCAAGGAUCUAAACAAAAAAUUAGUACAAAAGCUAUUGUGUAAUAAUCAAAAUAUAUUAUUUCCUUUUAGUUUAUUUAUUUGGGACUUAUUUUUUGAGGGAUGUGUAGAGAGAGAGAGAGAGAGAGAGAGAGAAAAAAAGAAUUGGGACCAAGAAUUUGAAUCAGAUAUAGAAAAGGCAUAUGAAAUGUUUCUGUCACAAAGAAAAAGCAAAAUAAAUUCCACUCCUAAAAAGCAACGCAUCUCAACUUUAGAUAAAUAUAACUCUGAUUUCAUUUGUAAAGACAUAAAAAUUGACGUGCCCUUUUGGUGGGAUAAGUUCCUAUUGCUGCCUUCAAGGAUCUUCUCCAUUUCUUUCUUAUCGACCCCUUUACACAAAUUUUCAACUUCAUCCUUAUGAUCUUAUUAGUUUAUAGACUUAAUUCAUAUUAAGCCGAUGUGACUUCAAAAGUUUCAAUUUAGUCUUAUUUGACCAAUUUGGUCCCUAAACAUUUUAUUUGUAUGUUACAAAUUUUCAUUUGAGUUAUUAUGCUCGUGGACUAUUUUUGGAUUUAAUACCGAAAAACUAUUGUUCUCUCAAACUUCUACCAAACUAGUAAGAAAAAGAGGGAGAGAAUAAAUACUUAAUCUCCAAAAUUUAAGUUUGAUACCAUCUUAGUCCUUGUAUUUUUAAGUUUAAUAUUGUAACUCUCUGGGUACCGUCAAAUAAUACAUUUUUUUCCAUAUCUCAAAAACUUGAAAAUCAAAUUUGAAAACUCGAGUAUCUAAAUGCAUGCUAGGGAGAUCAAAAGUGUUCUUUUCAUUAUUAUGCAACUCUUCCAAAAUAAGAAAAAAACAGAGAAAAGAAGACACUAGAUCUUAGUGAAAACCUAAGUACUUACAAUUAUUAGUUCAAAGUUAGUGCUAGAUUUGAUGUUUUCCCCCAUAAUUUAUAAGCUUAGUUGUUUAUACUUUUUCCCAUAUAUCAUGUACUCAAAUUCAUCUUCUGUUCUCACCAGGGCCCCACAAUUUCACAUUACCCAUGUAAUCUUGAGCACAUCCAUCUUCUUCUCAAGCAUACACAAGUAAUAUAUAUCAAUGACUAACCUCCACUGAGUAUGAUAUGAUAUGGUAUGAAAAACAGAAUGAACAGUACGUACACGAAAUGUGUAUCAGGACAAAACAAUUCAAAUUUCAAGCUAUAAAUAAAAUAUAACCUUCAUAUAAAAUGUAUUGAAACAAUCUAUUAUCCAAUCAAUGAAUAUAUUAAUGUAACUUGCUCAGCAUUUCAUUACCAAAAUUCCUUGACUCGAUAAGAUACAAGUUUUAAUAUAGCUUUCAUUCACUCACAAACACAUGUGGAUGCUACAGGUUUUGUUCUCUUUUUCCCACCUAUAGCAUCUCUUAACAAGAAACAUGUUACAAAAUUCACAGCACAUGGCGAGCAUGCGCUUAUUCACCGCCAGAAAAUUUUUAUUGUUCGUUUAUAAGAUUUAGAAAAAAGUAAAAAAUUAAAAAGCAACCAGAUUUAAUCAAUGUCUAGAUGUUAAGCGUUCUUUAUUCCCCAGAGGAAAACUAGUUUGCUUACUUGGUUGGGAUUGUGAUUGUUGUAUGUCGGAAUCUCUAACUUCGUUUGCAUCGUCUAUGUUCGCCUUUUGGGCCUUCACAUGACUAUUGCUAUUGGAGUUCGGAUGGGUUUCUGAAUAUUUAUCCUCACCAGAAGGUAUAACUCGCAGUAGGAACCUAUGUAUCAUUUCAUAGCUGGUGAAAGUUAUUACAGCAGAUGGAGUUGUUCGCAACAGAUUCGUCGCACAACCUCUAUAAAAACCUGGGACACCUUCCUUUCGAAAAACCUUUUUGAUACAGUCCAUUACUCCUGAGUAUUGAGGAGCAAUGUUUCUGGCUUGGCCUUGCUCUUGUAGCCGGGAACGAACUACCUGGAGAUGAAGUUUAAACAGGAUAAAGAAUUAUUAAAGACACACAUCACAAACACUUGCAGAGAGAGGGUUUAAAAACCUACCUCAUGUGGGUAAGUCAUUACCGAGGCCGUAACUUUCGACAAUGAGGAGGCAAUAGCUAAAUGUCCUGGACUUAGUUUGUCAACGGUUGUGUUUUCUGGAAAGAAAACAAAACCAAAACCAGUUUAAAAAAGCAAUCACAUUUGAAUGAGUACAUACACGCUUACUGAUAUUCUAUAUUAUAACCAAAAGAUUAUCAUAGUUACGUACCUCUUUUUGCAAUAUACGAUUUGAGCCUUUCGUAUGCAGGAAAUUGAAUUGCAACAUGACUUAUCCCAACCAAUGAAGGGAUGAUACCACUGUUCAAAGAACAAAUCAAAGACAUGUUCUCAUAAUUAUUUUAAAAUAUGAGAAUAGUACAACUUAUGAGUCAUUAUUUGUCAGAACAAAAGUUUAUCACAACAACCAUUAUCUCACUCAUUACAGUCAAGCCACAAAUUUGGGAAAACAUAUAUCCAUUAAGAACUUCAAUUUUCACAAAUAUGGUGAGAACAAACCUGUAAAGCCCACGAAUUCCUUCUUCACGUACAAUCCUGGUAAAUGCUGAAACCAUGCCUGUGUAAGGAACCACACCAGGCCUCAUUCCCUGUGUCUGUUGAAACCAAAAAUGCUAUGAACGUAAAAGAGGAGAAUAAUAGAAAAGGGCUUAGCUGUGCUUUAGUAAAAUGGAGCAUAGAAGCCACAAACUCAGUGAAAAGGAAAUGUAAAAGCACGAGAAUCUGCUAAUUACUUGGAGUCGGGUCUUAACAACCCACAAAGGAUUUGUUGCAAUGGCAGUAGAUGCCCCAGCCCCAGCAGCAGCAAGCAUAUUUGCCCCAAACGAGAGUUGAUGACCAUCGUCCCCUGCAAUCAAAUAGCAAUAUAUAUAAUAAUGCAAAGCAAUUCAAUCAAAUUUUACCACUUCUAAGGAUUGAACACUUAAAACAUAUCCAAAAUCCAAAAUCUGAAAUCUGAAAAGUGGACUACAACAGCAUGUCCAGAAACAACUGUGUUUGUAAAAGAGGAAAGGAAAAAUCAUUUGCCAAUGAACACCAAAACCAACCAUCUGAAUGAAGUAGGCCUUUUAGAUGCUCAUAAACUGUGAAGUAGACCUACAUGUGAGAUAAGCACAUUUUGUCAUUCAGACAAUGGAAAAAUGAUCCAGAAACAAGAAAUGGAUGGUGAAUUUCAUAAAAAUAACUUGUGCCAAAGAAAAGUCACGUGGAAGUAAAUUUUGGUAAAAGUAAAGUUAAAAUUCUAUAAUUAGUUUUAAUUGUUUACAUUGGUACAAAAUAGAAAGGUUAGCAUAACAUCCCACAGUGUAAGUUUGGAUGUAAAUCUUUAUCUCACAAGGUCCUACUGUUAUAAGUACAUAAACCAUCAUGGGGAAGCGUGGUUUCCCACUCAGGUCGUCCUGUUUUAAGUACCAUCAUGGAGUAGAGGGUGGAUAUACACAGUUAUCUCAAAAUUGACAGUCUUGCAAACUUUACAUACUGCUCAUUUCUUAACUUCAUGGUACAUGGUGGUACAUAUAACAGUUAAAGUAGGAUUGGGAGAAGAUUCACAUUGGAUAAAAUCAUUCUUUAUAUUUAAAUAGGCAAAACAAAUGUCUCUUAGAAAGGUAUCUGAAUUGCCCGUUGGAAAAGAAAACAAGAAAAACAAAAACACUAAAUUGCAAUGGGUUGGGGAAAAAGAUCACACGGUGCAUUAGGCACCAAGUGGGAAAGUAAAUAUAAAAUGAAUGUCAAGAGUGCAAUCCAGGAAGUAAUUCCUGUAUGGAAAUAAUUGUGUUCGUUGAGUUGCAAGAAAUGAGACCCAUUAAAAAGUCAGAACUCCUAAAAAUAUAAUGAAAAGGGAAAACAGAAGAAAGUCCUACAGAAAAGUGGAUCUCAAUAACUAUUCAUGAAAUUCUAGUUCAUGGAUAUAUUUCAUUAUGGCGUCCGCCACGCACCACCAACAUGGGCUUGAGUAUUAGCAACCAACAAUAAAGUCAAUACAUCUGUUUGGAAAAAAAAAAUAAAGGUUUUAAUGCUACUUUCCAAUGAAAUAUCCAAUAAAAUACUCACAGCCCAGUUUGGAAGAAGUGCUACUAUUGUUGGAGAAAGGCCACGAUACAUUCCCCUGAAACCUUCAGAACGCAUUAUGCUUUGUAGGCUAGUGAUGAUGAUACUACCUGGGUAGAGAACAGCGGAGAUUAAAGAAAUAUAAUCCCUAAACAAGCUCAACCUUCAUUUUCAGAUGCAGAAACUAUAAUAUCACUUAUCACAUAACUAAAACCAACGCAAAUCCUUUGACCACUGGUCUUCAACGUCUUGAUCCAGAUUAAAUUUCUAGUUUGGUUCUCAAAAAUAAUACGGUCAAUCACAAACAGGUGUUACAGUCUUCAGAAAAAACGAAAUAGUGAAUUGAUUCAGACUUAUACACGGAAUCAUUGGAAGUUACCAACUGUAAGUGACUAAUUUGAUAUUUCCAAUUCAUGGUAUAUUUGCACAUUAAAGAAUCAAACGGUCAACUUGGCUGAACUAGUUAUAAGGCAUGUGUCCUCAACCAAAGAGGUUAGAACAUGGAAUCCUUCCACCACACUUAUUGUUGAACUAAAAAAAGGAACAACUUUCCCAAUGUUAAGACUAAAAGAUUACCUCCACUUUGACCAGAAGGGAGACCAUGCACUUGCAGCCUCGUCUUGAUGACAUCUAAAGGGCAGACGAACGUGGCUGCUAUAGAACCUGUUACGCAUAUCAUAACACACAAAUGUUAAAUAAUCCCUAAUCACAAACUCAAUGCGCAUAUUGAAGAAGCAAGUAACUAAUCUAAACCCCCAGAUUCCAAACCGUGACAUUUACACCCAGCAAAAAUCAAACAAAAAAAGCUCAAAAUUGAGCCUGAAAACGAAAAGGCAAACCUGCAGCAGCACCGGCACCGGCGUUGCAGAUCAAAUCCCUAGUGCUUCGAGAAGUGCCACCAGCACCGCCACUCAUCUUGCUCUCAACUACUUCCUACAAUUUCUGAAUGGAACAAAAGCAAACUUGCAUCGCAGAUCACUGAUUUGAGAGCUCAAGAACUAACUAACACAAGAAAUAUAUAUAGACUUCCCCCGUUGGUCUUCCUUGUUCGUUGCAUUUGACCAAAAGGGUUCAAAUUAAGUCGAUGAAGAAACGCAAAGAGAUGAAAAAUCUUCGUCUUUGAACUUGUUUGAAGGGUUUAAAGCUCUGUGAUUUCGUCGCCUCAACUCUCACGACGAAGAAUUUGAUUCCGUGUAGCUUCGCUUCAACUCUCACGAUGAAGUUUCUUCAUUCUUUCUCUCUUCAUUUCCCUUUCCCCCUUUUUAUCUUUCCUUUUCUUUUUCUUUUUCUUUUCUUUUCGGAUGAUAUAUAUAUUCUUUGAUGCAUUCUUUUGUUUUUUUUUUUGGAUUUUCAAUGCAUUUAUUUACUAACUAAAAGUGAAAAUGGAUUGCUAAAAAAAACUACAAUCUAAAUUUUAAAAAGUUAAGUAAAUGUUUUUGAAAUACACCAAAAUAGGACUAAACAAACUUAAUUACAUUUUAGUAGAAAAAAAAUCAUUAUAUUUAAUUUUGUCAAAUUUUCUUUUUUAUUUCUCUAUACUUUUUUAUGAAAUUAUAACUUAGUCUUAUUAUUUAUAAUUAAAAUUUGUAAGAACUUAUUUUUACGCUUACUUGGUUAACCAAUAGUUAGUGUUUGAGUUGCAAACUAUUUUAGUUGAAUUUAUAAUAAUAUAUGUUUAUGAUGUAAACUAUUUUUGUUUUAAUAUAAAAUAGUAAAUAUUGUAAAAGAAAGAAAAAUAGUAAACAUUACAACAAAUAUUAUUUUGAAGUAGUAAUUUUUUAUACUUAAUGGUAAAUUAGAACAAAAGUUUGGUUCGACUGACACUUAUAUCUAUUAGAGAACCUUAACUACAAUAUUGUACUCAUAUUAUUAAAGUUAGUGUCCUAAACAUUGAAUGAACUAUAAUAACUUGUCAAUGUCUAUUCGAUAUCUAUCAUGGAUAGGUUAUAAUUUUUUUUUGUUCAUUUUGUUAUAUUUGUAAACAACAGUUUUAAAUAUUAUAUUGAAAAUUUUGAUGGUAUUUGUUGAAAUAACGAUAAUAAACUAGCAUUAGGGACUAAAUUGAAAUAUUAUUAAGAAUAUAUAGACUAAAAUAGGAAGUUUGAAUCUGUACUAAAACUGAAUGGCUUGAAUUAAUACACAAAGACUAAAAUGAUAUUUUGACGGGAGACAUCAAUUGGAAUAAGAAUAUUACUACGACGUAAUUGGAAUCAAAAUACAAACUUUAUACAUCUCCUUUUGGAAUUAGAAUAAAAUAUAUAUUGACUACUAGAAUGCCACUUUAUAAUUUUUAUAAACAAGUUAAAAGCACGUGCAUAGUUUUUUUUUAGAAUCAAGACUUUUAGGCUUAACUUUGAAUGUUUAAUGAUUAUUUUUAACUAAGUAUUUGACAUAAACUUGGUAAUGAAAGAUAUAAAAACUAAUAUUAUAUGUAUUGUUUAAUUAACAAUUAACAUAUAAAUAAGUUGACUUGGUUGAAAAUGAUUGAAAUUUGAUGUAUAGAUUCGUUUUUAUUAAGUUAAUCUUAAAUCUUGAAAGAUUGAAAAAUAUCACAAUGAAAAGAAAUAGAACAAAACAAACUUGUGUGAUGUAAUGAAAAUAAAGUUUAUAAAGGAGUGACGUGACAAGAUACUGUUAGCUCCCACAAAUCGAUUUUUGUAGUUAGGGUAAGCAUAUAUCAAUCGAGAUCAAGUCGAUAUUUUUAUCAAACCAUCGCCAUCAUAAAUCUAGUCGAUUUUAUUAAACGUUUAAAUCGAUUCCAUCAUGAAAAAUACAAAUGGAUCGUUGGUCAGUCGAUUGGUUGGUUCAAGUCAAUUUAAGCCUUUCAACUUUUUUUCGAAACUGACACCCAAUGAAACCCUGUAUAUUGGAGGUUUAUUGAAAUGAAUUUAAAUUUAUUAAGGAGAAACUAAAAAGAGUAGAGGGUUGGGUUAUAAAUACUUAAAAUAAAAAUGUAACUUCAAAAUGUAAUAAAUAUUAGAUGCUCAUUUUGUUUAUUGUCAUGUGUCAACACACUAUCACCCUAUAUGUUCUUCAUGCGUAUUGACCUUACAUAUCAUUAGUGUUAAUGUAAUCCACUACCUACUUGUCAUUAUAAAUAAACGCUUUUUGUGAAUUUUGUAAGAACGUGAUAUUUCAAAAAAAAUAGAGAUACUUGUGGUUAUUAAGAAUUCUAUAUAUCUCGCGAUUAUUUCAUAACAUGUAUUGUGGGUUGCAUAAACAAGCAAUUAAUUGUUGUCAUGAACAAAUAAUCCAAACAAAAACCAUACUUCACCUAUCUCAUGAACACAUAUUUUUCUCUCUUUUUUCUUUUUGUUAAUCGAGGAAGACAUUCUUAAAAAGUAAUAAACAUAAAAUACACACGAUUGUUUUCGAUAUAAAAAACAAAGAAAAACUAUUGUAAAUGACAAAAUUUAUAAAAAUAUUUACAGAAUAUAGUAAAAGAAUUAAUCUAUAAUUUCUACUAACAUAUAUUGAUAGAUUAUGAAAUCUUACUACAACCUAAAACAAAAUUUGGUAUUCACCCAAGUCGAUGUGCUUUGUUAAAGCGAGCCUAACAAAAUAACUACUAGGCCACACCACACGUGUUUUGACCCUGUAACAUCAUCGUAUGACCAAAAUGAGCCUAAAAAAGGUGUUCAAUCUCAAGCUUGGCCGAGAUUAAGCCUAGCAAGAUGGCCAAUGAGGCGUGUCCCUCGUUUGCUUCUACAUGAAGAGACAACUGACAAUCCUAGUAUGACUCUUAAAUUGAAUUUUGAUAAUCUAAGCCGUCAGGAGGAAUUAGAAAUAUAAAUCAAUUCACCUUUUAAAUAAAAAAUGAAUAUUGAGUGAACAUUGAUAAAAUGUGAUAGAUUAAGCUUGAAGUAAUUGAGAGAAAAUCAUAAACACUCAAGUUUGUUCAAGAAUUUUUCAAUAUUAAAAAAAUUUAUGAAAUCUUAGAAACGGACGAGUUUUCAAUAUAAUAACCAACUUCUUGUUGUAAAUGCCUAUUUAGCACUCAUGUCCCUUAUAGUUGAAAUUUUGAUUGUUUAUCCUUCUAUUAACUACAAAUAUACUGUGAAAGUCUUAUCAAGUUAACGUUAACAUUAUUUGAUAGAUAUAUAAUUGUACUUUUUUUUCGUGAUGAAUACUUGUAUAGUUUUUAUUUUAUUUUCAUAUGCUCUGAGUAUAAGUAAAUAUGUUCAAAUGAGUUUGAAUGAUGGUUCUAUUUUCCCUUAAAUAUAAAAUAAUAAAAACCACCAAUUAAUUGUUUUUAAAAAAUCUCAAAUUCAUGUAUUUAAAUUGUAAUUAAAAAAGAAUUAAAAAAUUUUAAACUUUGACUUUUCUGUUUGUAGCUUUAGUUGAGUUAUGAAAAAAUAUGUUUAAAAAACGUAAUCAAAUGUCUUUAUUAAAUUAAAGUAUAAAAAAUACAAUCACAACCAAAAUUGAUAUUACUCUCAAAUUUGGUCUUAAGGUUGCAUUUAUCACCGUUGACCAAAAAAUUUCGAUCAAUUAAAAUUUGUCAUGUCAUCACAACAAAACGGUGGUGAUUAUAAUUUGAUUGGAUUUUGAAUAAUCAAGUUUUCUCAUAUUUAAUCCAAUGCAAACCUCCAACGAAAAAUCAGGCCAAACAAGGAACCAAAGCUCGACGCUAAGAAAAUGUGUCAAAGUCCAAGCUCAAGCCCAAGAGACAGAUGGGUCCAAACUUAAGUACAACAAAUAAAUGAGUCCAAGUCAAAGUCCAACAAGCAAAUGGACCCAAGCCCAAUUUCAAUAGGUAAAUGAGCCCAAACAUACCUAAAGUCCAUUAAAUUUCUCUAUAAAUAGAGACCUUUGUCAUUCAUUCAAGGGGUCUAACUCUUAAGAAUUGAAGAUUCAAACUUCUACAAGCUCUUUAGACGUGCAAGUUCGUAUGACUUGGAAUAUUAAACUUUUUUUGGAUUAUAGAAGAUCGAAGUUCAAAUCGACUUGCAACUACAACAUUCAUCCUAAAGAUAGUUGCAACAUUCAUCCUAAAGAUCAAAGACCAAUAAGUUCUAAAGUUUGUAUCUUGUAUUCGAGAGUAAGCAUCAAAUGAGUAAAUACUAUAAAUUGUAUCCGCUAUAUUCAUCAAUGUACAACUCAACCUCACGAAAUACAUUUAUUCAAAAUAUGGUGCGAACAAUCACAAUUUUUAUACUAACAUAUACUUAAUAAAUUUGGCCAACAAACAUUAAUUUUGUUAAUUUAAAAUUACCUCAUUUUUUUUAAAUUUUUUAUAAGAAUUUAGUCAUUUUAAAUAAAUUAUCCAAAUUUAGGAGCACUUCUAUCAUUAAGUACAAAAUGGAAGGAUACAUAUAUAAACUCGUGCUUUUAUUAUAUGAUCCAAUCAUUGCAGUUUACUAACACUUUUUCAUUAAUUUUCUAGUAACCUAAUAUUUUAAUGUUUCAUGAUAAAGUAUUAAAAUAUGACUAAUGUAUAAAUCAAAUUGUUACUUGCUAGAAUGACUAAUAAAUACAAAAACUAAAGGCAUACAAGAUUAAGGUUUAAAGACUUAAUUUUACUUCAACAAAAUGCAUAUAACCAGCCUUUUAAACUCCUAUGUUUGACUACUAACUAUAUAAACUAUUUAAAGUUAUUUGCUUAUGUAUCAAAAAUUUAUAUAGAUAAGUUGGUUGUUUAUAAACUAUCAUCAAAUGAUUAUGGCUAUCAAAAGUCAUUCCAAACGUAUUAGCAACCAUACUUCAAAAAAAUCAAAAUUGUGUAUAUUUAUAAUAAACACAUAUACAUAUAUAUAUAUGACCUAAUUAUAAAUAAAUAAACAAACAAAUAAAUCUCAAUUUCACUAAUCUAUCCAUCUAUCUCCCAAAGUACAUGGCCUUUGGUGCAAUGUUCACAAGUCUCUCCAAAGCAUUUGGAGCAAACUUUCUAGCGAAUAAGAAGCAGACACCUUUCCCUUCCAUUUUACUUUUCCUACACUCUCCGGUUUGAUUCCUCAAUCUCUGAAUUAGCUCCACGUGGAUAUCCGACCGCGAGUAUCUCGCCGGAUGUGGCCCGCCCUUUGACCAGUCAACCCAGGUCAAACUCCGAUUACCAUUCCGAUCCCACCCCAAAACGUUAACCAACGUUGGCAAAUAAUGUUCGUCUGAAUAACAUUGCCCUUUACAGUAAUUCUGGAAAACAGGGAAGUACUUCUUAUCCGAGACGACAGCCACGGCGGUGUCUCGGUCAAUCUCGAACCACUGCGAGCCUUUUCGCCAUUGUUUUAGAGAGAUGGGUGGGAACAUUUUGUUCCGGUAUCGACCACGGCCGACGUUGCUGGGUUCGUCGUAGCUCAUGAUGAAGCUUUUCAUGGUGGAAUUUAUGAGAAAAGAGUAGACUGUGGAGAAGUUAAACAGAGGAAUACAUGAUUCGGAGAGAAGAACAAAUCGCUCGUUUGAAAUAUCAAGGAGUGCGUUUGAAAUUAGCCGUCGUUCUGCUUCGAUCAUGUUUACUUUUCCCCAUCCAACUUUCUGCAAUGAAGAACAAUGAAUUUUAUUAAAUUUUGAAUCUAAUUGAUUGUUAUAUGAAUGUUGAUCGUAAGAAAUAAAUACUAACCUUGCUGGGGAUUCUUCGGCCAUGGAAAGCAGGGGGCUCAGGAGAAGAAUGAUUAUAAGAAGGAUCAGAAUGAACAUAAACAGAGUAAAGUCCUUCAUUCCCUUUAAAGAAUUCUUCCCAAAGUGGAGCUAAAUACACCGGCCCUUUUGUUAAAAACAUGAACGCGAUCUUCGGGACCCGCUGGAACGGAAAUUUCUUGAUUCUGGCCAUCAUUGAAGCUCUCCAGAGAAGCUCCUCAUCAUCCAUGUCGUGCAUUACUUCAGGCGGCUUCAAAAACUCUUCCAAACCCACUCGGCCGCCGGUUACAGGGAAGAAAUCCGAAGAGGAGAUCUGGGUGAGGUUUAAGCUAAUGAAGAAAUUGGAGAGAUAGAAAGUGAGGAAAACUCCGGCGGUGAUUCCGACGGUGAAGAGGAGGAUGUAAGGGACGACGUGGAAGAAGGUGAGAUGGAUAUGGAUUAGCUUCGGGCUCUGAAAUUGACUCUUCAUUUCUUGCUAGAACGUAACCGGACGAAGCUCGAUCGGAGGUGAGACUGCGGCGGAGAGAUGAAACUGACGUUGAGAUGUUCUUUUUUUCUAGACGGUGUGGGAGAAGGCGAAGUUUGGUUUUAAUUCCCUUUCGAACCUUAAAUAUCGAUUUUUUUUUUUUUUUUUAUGUUGAAUUUAAGGCAGAAUGGUUUGAAUCGAUGGUCAGACUUAAUUAUUUAUUUACGUGUUUUAAACUUUUAUUUAUUAUUGGCUAUUUUUUAUAUUUUUGUUUAUUUAAAUGUAUAAAUAAAUUCAAUAAACAUUGUUGUUUUAGUUCAACAACUUUAUUAUGAAUCGCACAUAUUAUUUCAUGUAUAUUGAUAUAAAAAAACUAAAUAACUAUUCAGUGUAAGAGAACAAUAAUGCAGUUAUAAUUAAAUUUAAUUAUUUAAUUACUUCAAAUAUCAAAUAAUUACUAGUUUUAAUUAAAUGUUAUUCAGUUAUUAUGAUACUAAAAAUAAGAAAAUAAUUGUAAAUUAGAAUAUUAAUAAUUACUAAUAAACUUUACCUAUUGGUUAGUAGUUAGACGGCAAUAGUUUUGUUCAUUUACUUAUUUUGAAAAGGUUACCUAAACAAUGAUUAGAAAGGAGCCAAACAAAGUAUAAAAUCCUUACAUCCCUUUUCUAUUUGAAAAUUAAAAAGAGGGUUAGACUUAUGUCUAAGUUUAUUCUUAUAUAAACUUCAAAAAAAAAAAAAAAAAAAUCAAAUAACCGUGAGUAUAGUUGUUUAUACUUCUCCUGCCCAUACAAAGGUCAACAACAACAUACCGAUUUUGUAUUUUUUCUCAUACGUGAAAUGAACAAUGGAUACAACAUAAACAAGAGAAAAAGAAAAAAAAAAGCUUAGCUAGCAAAAUUAGAAAACCAUUUUGAAAAAUGUCGAUUAUCCAUUAAGAUUUUCUCAUUCAUUCACUUUUUAGUAUAAUUAGAGAUGACGAGACUCGAACAAAAAGAUUGACUUUCAACGUUGAUUAAUAUUAUGCAUUUUUCGAAAACACCGACAGAUUUAGUAUAGAUUCAGGAAAGGCUCGAGCCCUCAAAUUUUAUUAUCUUUAUAUAACAUGUAUAAACAAAAUCAAUUAAUGAUUAAUAUUUAUAGACAGUUUAACGAUCAUUACGCUUAUCAGUCUUUUUUUCAACUAGAAUUCAAAUCUUGUUUAUGCAAAUAAAUUUUAUGGAUCCGUCAAUAAUUUUAUAAUUAUUUUUAAACGACCAACAAAUAAAUGAACGCAUAAGGAAAAAAAAAAAGAAAAGAAUAUGUGAAAAAUUGUGUGAAUGGCGUGUGAGUUUGGAGUUGGAAACCACGGUGGAAAAAUCUCCGGCUAAUGACGCGCUUUGAUUUGUAAUUCCUGUUUUGAGUCUCACAAAUUCCACCGCCAUUCGCCGCCGCCCGACCACCGUUAUUGACACGUGUUGGCUGUUUCCACGUCAAUUUCUGCGAACCCCAAAUACAAAAAAAAGUCUAUUACAUUGCAAUUAUAGUUAUUGGGGACUUCAUUUUAAAAAUAAAAUAAUAAAUAUCAACUAACAUAUAUAAUUAAAGAAUUGUUUUGAGAAGUAUAAUAUAAUAUUUAGUUUUGUUUGAUAAACAAUGUUUCUAUGCUUUAUCUGAUUUUUUAAAACAAAAAAUAAUUUUAAAUAGGAAAAUUUUCAUAAAUACAAUAAAGUAGCAAAAAGUUUCCUAGAAAAAACCACAAUAGAGAAAGGGAUAAAACAAAAAUAGAGUAUAAACGUUUUAAAGAAAAUCAAAAUGAAAAAUGAUCAAAUAUGUUUUGUUUUCUUAAAUUGAUUAAGAAAUUAAAUAUUGUUUUUAUUAAAAAAAAAAACAUUUUUGGGGGGUAAAACAAGAGAAAUAAUUAUCAUAAUUGUGGAAGAAAGUAGAGACUAGAGAGGGGGUGGUGAGAAUUGGUUGAACAAACGGAGGAGCAAUGCAUGGGGGAAAUGAAUGAGAAAAGUAUGAAAUUGCGGUAAUUAGCAUCAAGACUUCCAAUUCCAAAAUUAUCACUACUCAACUUUCAACGCUCUUUUCUAGUAAUCUAAAUCAAAAUACUAUUUAAUUUUUAAAAAUUAGAAAAUAUUCUUAUUCAUCCAAAAUUUAAACCAACUUUUAUCUCAAACGUAAAUCAAAAUAAAAAAUUCAAGUCAAAACAAUAGUUUUAAAUGUAUUUGACUAUUAAGUCCAGUGAUCUAUUACGAACAUAACUAAUAUCAAUAGUUGCUACAUGAUUGUCAAAUAAAAAUUGUAUUUUUUUGACUACUAAUUUAUAAAGAUGGUCGAGUGUGGGAAUUUUUUUUAUUUGACAAGUUAUUGUUUUGAUAUGUUUAAGAUUUUUUUAAAUUUUUUUUGAGAUUUUAUAGAAUUUUGUGUUUCAAUGAAUGUUUAAAAUAUAGAUGCCAAUUGAUUUACCCAAAUUUUGAUUUCAAUGGAUAUUUAUGGAAAAUUAUAAAAACAACAAAUUCGAAAAAAUUAAAUUAGUAAAUAAGUAUUUUAUUGUUUUCAAAUAAGCAAACAUCUCAAUUAUCUGUACUAGUGUCAUUUUCAUGAUUCGUGGAUUUUUCUACGAUAUAAUGAAAAUAUUUAUUCACUCUUAUCGAUAUCAAUUUCAUGAAAGUAUCAAAAUAUCUAUAGAUUUAUUAAUGAAAAUUUAAAAAUUUGAAAGUUUAUGAGUAUUUUUUAUACAAAAAUCAAAGUUGAGGACAUUUUUUAUAAUUUAGCUUUAGAUAUAUUUAGCGUUUCUAUCGAUGAGGUAUAAUUAUAUCAGAUUUUUAAAAACUACAAGUAUAGUAUAGUCUGUUAGUGAUAUAUUUAUGUUAUCAAUAGACGCUCCAAAUUUUAGUGUUUGGCUUAAUUUUGAGCAUACUGAUGUUAGAGCAUUAAACUCAAUAUAAAAGGAGCAUUGACAUAGAAAUUUAAUUUAGGGAUUACACUCAAAAUUAUGAUUUCUCAAAGGAGAACUGAUAGACAGGAAAGUCCAAUUGAUAAAAAAUGAACAAAAUAGAUUAAAUUUCAAACAGAUUGGAAACAUUUUCAAUGUAUUAUUUCUUGUUGAUCGAGAAAAACGAAGGCAUAUGGGUUGAUUUAAGUUACGAAUAUAUGUUGUUAAAGUCAAAAUUCAUUUAAAAGGCAGUGACCUAAUUUUAUUUUUAGUUUUAUGAAUAUGAAAGCAAUUUGUCGGUAGCCUAAUAGCCAUUCUAAUAAAAGAAACCUUUUUAAGGCUACCAAACUUCAAGUCAAGCCACUCCAAAGCCUAGAUUUUGUUAUGAAACUAAUUACAUGUUUUCUUUCUUUUUCAAAUGAUUCAUGACCAUUCUAUAUCACUUUCUACCCAUUAACUAUUCGAUUAUGAUUUUGUUUGUUCCAAAGGUAUUUGGUUAAAUAAAUAAAUAAACAUAUAAUUAUUUUUCUAAAUAAUAAAUUUAGCUUUUCUAUACGAAAAUAGGAAAGCAUGAAGUUUAGUUUACCAACGUUAAAAGAUCUACAACAAAAUUUACUUACUGUGAAAAUGAAUAAGGGGAGACAAAGGAAAAACUCAAAGGAAUGGGUAGGGAGAAAGCGUAAUUGCCAUGCAAUAGUUGGCCAUUGACAAUUAUAAUGGUAAGGACGAUUGGCAAGUGACAACAAUCACGACGAUUGAUUAUGUAAAGUAAACUUUUCAAUAUUGAUGUUUUAAUAGUUGAAGCUGUAAAUGCUCUAGCUUACAAAAUGUACAAUUAAGGGCAUUCAUCAUUGACUUAAAAGUUGACAUUGGAAUUAAUGUGAAUUCUCGAAUCAAAAUUUUACAUAUUUGUAAGAUGAAUGUAAGAUUGAGAUGUUCAAAUUUACAUUUUUGACGACGGAUAUACACUUUAUUAAUUUUAUAUUUAUAGUGACUUAAAAGUAAACAAAGACCUUUAGGGAUCAUUUGACCUAUUGAGUGGAGAGUUAAGAGCGGUAACUUUGUAUUAUAUGGAUAUACUGCUACAAGAAGAAAUUUCUUGAUAUAUAUAUAUAUAUAAAAUUACUCGACAACAUGGAGAGCAAACAAAAAAUAUAUAAAAAAAUAAAAAAAUAAUAAUAUAUAUAGUUUAUGUACAAAAUGUUGAUUUUUUUUAAAUAAUAUAAUUUUAAUAAAUAGUAACAACGUUAGUGAAGAACAAAAACAUUUGAUAAAAAUAGGUGUCGAAAAUGUAGACUAGGUCAUGGUUUUCAUACAAUGUCAUGCCUCUCUCAUGCCACAUUAGAGGAAGAAAGCGUAAGAUUUCAAUCUAAGAUGUAAAACUUCUAUUUCUAAAAGGUCAAUCCCUAGUAGUUUUUCUAUCAAUAUGAGAUUGCUCAAUCUUAUGUCUCACGUUAAAUUCCUAAAACAUAAGAUAAGGGACACUCAUAAUUUCCACCCCUUAUUUUUAGAAAUUUGUUGGCAAUGACUUUGUUGUUGUCGUCGUCAUCUAUUUAAACAACUAUUUUAGAACUAACUCACAAAUUUCAACCAUGUAUAUCGUUUGAGUUGAGUUGUUUGCAUUAAGUUGACAAGCACAAUGUUUUGUUGUUUUUUAGUUUGUAGAAACAUGUACCAUAGACCAUGUUUUACGAACAUGUACCACAAACCAUAUUUACGGUUUGAUUUGGUUUGGUUUUUUUCUUAUUUGUCGUUUUUGUAAUUUGUUGUCGGAAAUCGAAAACAAGGAAGUAGAAGGGACAAAGAAAAAUGAAGGAAAAAGUGGGAAAAUUAGAAAUAGACAAUUUCCCACAAAUAAUUUCUUGCAAAAAAUUCUCCAGAUUCUCUUCAAAUCUUCAGAAACCCUAGAUGUUGUUUGCUUUCCCAUUGUUCUGAAUCAUUUUGCAUAACAAGCCUCCCUUGUUUUGGGUUGGAUCCUAGCCGACUGAUAAUACUUGCUUUGUUUAAUUUCCCGAAAAUCGAGCUCAAUCCAAAUUUGGCUUCCAGGUUGAUGCCUUUUAUUUUUUAUUUUUAUUUAUAUAAAUAAAUAAAUAAAUAAAUAUAUAUAUAUAUAUAUAUAUAUAUAUAUAUUUUUUUAUGGUUUUCGCAUAAUUUUGUUCAAUUUCGAGCCGAAAUUCCUCAUCGGUUUUCGAUUCUUGCAGCGAUUUUAGAAGAUACAGAGCUUUUCCCCGUCCUAAAGCACCGACGGUGGGACAGUUUGAGCGGGAAAAGCGAGAAUGAAGACGGGUUCGAAGUCGGAAGGACCUUCGACUCCAGCGCUUCGACGGGACCCGUAUGAGGUUUUAAACGUAACCAGGGAUUCCACUGAUCAGGAAAUCAAGUCUGCUUAUAGGAAGCUUGCUCUUAAGUAAUUCUCUUGCUCUGCGCUUCGUAUUACUGAAACUUGAUCUGUUUUAGUUCACAUCAAUUCAUAAUUCCUGUCCACCGUCAAUAACGAAUAGAAUAUGCUGUGUACUAGUGCAGAACUUGAUAUGUAAGAAGAUUAUUAGUCUAAUCUGGUUUAAUUUUAAAGAGUGGACUGGAUUUUAAGGAUGUCACUUGAUGGAUUCUUUUCUUCUUCCUCUUCUUUUCACCAUGUUUGGAAGUUUAGUUAGUGAUUGAUAUUCAGUCCUGUUCACUUGGAAGCAAAAGUUUGGAACUGGGUUUGAUUUAUCGUUUGAUCUUUGCUCUUUUGACCUUAUUGGACUUCUUACAUCGUCUGCUCAUUGGACUUCUGUUGGUGUUGGUCGUACCUUGUGUGCUAAUUGCUAUCUAGUUUUGGUUUCAUUUCUGGGAUUGAUAUUCAGUCCUGUUUCAAUUCAGCUAGCCUGUGGAUGCAUUAACGUUCGUUAGUGAACCGCUGUGGAUGGUUACAGCAUGAGAGUUCAGCUAGGCUCUAGGUGCAUUGCAUUUAGUUGCACAUUUCUAUUGCCUCCAUUCCGAUUUUAAUUAUUUAUUACAGAAAGCCAAAGGAAUAAGAUUGUUUUUGAUCAUUUGAACCAUCUGUUUGAAAAGUGAUUCUUAGCCUAAUCAAUUUGGCAGAUAUCACCCAGAUAAGAAUGGCAGUAAUCCGGAAGCUUCAGAACUUUUUAAGGAGGUCGCAUAUUCUUAUAGCAUCCUAUCGGAUCCAGAGAAGAGAAGGCAAUAUGACAGUGCUGGCUUUGAGGUGCUUCUCUUCUUGUCACCAUCAGUUUAUUAUGAUAUUUUGUAGUAUUAGGUUUAUAUUAACAAUUCUGGAAAAGAUACGUCACUGCUUCCAACUUCCAAGUUCAUGUUUUAUUUACUGUGGAGGGUUUUUAUGUGGCUUUACACAUUUUUCCAUACUUAGUAUCUUAUUUUGUAAUCAAUGCAUUCAGGCCCUUGAUGCUAGUGGCAUGGAUAUGGAAAUAGACUUAUCCAAUCUUGGAACUGUCAACACCAUGUUUGCAGCUUUGUUCAGGUGACACAUUUGUUAAGUUAUUUACUGAUUUGGUCAACUAUAUUUUUCUUGAUCACUUUUAUUUUUCAUUUUCUUUAGCAAGCUGGGUGUUCCUAUUAAGACUACAAUUUCUGCUAAUGUUCUUGAAGAAGCUUUGAAUGGAACUGUUACAGUCAGGCCUCUUCCUAUCGGAACAUCAGUUAGUGGCAAGGUGCAUAACUUGUAGAUCAAGACUGUACAAAAGAAGUAACAUUUCCAAUACUUUUUCUGACAUCUUGUUAGUUUUAUUAUAGGUGGAUAAGCAAUGUGCUCACUUUUUUGGGGUGACAAUUAACGAGGAGCAAGCUCAGACAGGAAUUGUUAUAAGGGUUACUUCAACUGCACAAAGUAAAUUCAAGGUGUAGUUUUGCCAGUAAUUUUCAACCAAAUGGGGCUCAUUUGAUAUGUAUUCUUUUUUCUUGAUUCUUAGCAUUGUUCUUGCGCAUCCACUUUUUUAGCUAUUUCAUGUUUCUGAUUUCUGUGCUUUUUUUUUUUUUCAUUCCAGUUGCUCUUUUUUGAACAAGAUAUCAAUGGUGGUUAUAGUUUGGCCUUACAGGUAAUACCUUCCGAAGUGUAUCUAUAAUUUUUCUAAUUUUUUAAUUGAUAGAGAUGAAAUGAAGCUGUGGGUAUCCGUUGGAUGGCAAUGGUUUUAGAAUCUAGUUUAGGUGCUGUCAUCAAGCAUUUUAGCUCUAGCUUUUUCUUGUUUAUAACCAGAUUAUUAGAAAAAGCUCUUACUCAAAAACGAAGCUUACAAUAAAAUUUUUAGAGGGGUUGAGAAGCCUUGGGAGAGGAGGAUGUGUGGUCCUUGUUAGGUUUCCCUUUCAUGCUUCUUUGAGGACUAUAAUGUGUAAGGCUUUCUUUGGUUGAGGGUUUAGUUUUUUGCCCCUUAUAUAUAUAUAUUAUUUAAUUUUCUCUUAAUAUUAAUUUAAAAAACUAAGCUUACAAUUUUUUUUUCCAACUAAUUAUGGUUCUUGAGGAAUCGAUUUCUCCUUGAAACCUAAGGAAUGUAUUAUAUUUAAUUGAUUCAUAAUCUGAAUGAGGUUACUUCAUCAAGUCAGCUAUGUAGUUUGGAAGGAUUAUCAUUCCUAUGUCUUAAUAUCAAUUCUCCCAUGCACUAUCAUAUGGUUCUUAACUCAUUUCUUUAGCUAAAUAGAUGAAUUGGUUCUUUUCACCAAAAAGAAAAAACAAGAAAAAGAAAAAGAAAAAACAAGGAAAAAAAGGACUGAAUAGAUGGUUUUUUUCCUUCUUCUUCUUCUUCCCUCUUGAGUUUUCCCUUUGAUUUUUGUGUGUAAAUAUUUUCUCCUUCCACUUUUCUGAACGUAAAAUUAAAUUAUUACUACUGUUUAAUAUUUAUGACACCCGAGGACAUACUUUGAACCGUGUUUUAUUGUAGGUUUACCACAAGUAGUUAGAUGAAAACUUUACCAGAUCAGCCACUUGGGUCCCGCAUUGUAAAAUUGUUGCGAGCCAAUUAGUCUUAAAAAUCUGUGAUUCAACUUCAUAUUAUAUUGACUUUAGUUCUGUGGAUUUCCAUUGCUUCUCCAUACAGGAAGAUAGCGAGAAGUCUGGGAAAGUAACGUCUGCUGGUUUGUACUUUUUGCAUUUUCAAGUGUACAGGAUGGAUUCCACUGUCAAUGCGGUAUGGCAAGCUCUAAUUAUGCGUAGUUUACUAAUAUUUCCUACACUUUUGACCAGAAAGGUUUCCGUUUCAUAUUCUUUUGUCGUAAUCAGCCUUGAUGCUUGAACAAACUCUUGUGUUGUUGCAGUUGGCAAUGGCUAAGGAUCCUGAGGCUGCUUUCUUCAAGAGGUUGGAAGGUCUUCAGCCUUGUGAGGUCUCAGAGCUAAAGGCUGGCACCCAUAUUUUUGCUGUUUAUGGUGUUAACUUAGAUUUCUUAAUUCUUCUUUCAAAUUUUGUUCUGCUUGGUGUUAACUGCUUUCUUGACAUCUUUCGUGUUUUUUCAGGAGAUAACUUUUUUAAGACUGCUGCAUAUACUAUUGAGGCACUAUGCACAAAAAAUUAUGAAGAGACAACAGAAAAGCUGAAAGAUAUUGAGGCUCAAAUUUUGAGAAAAAGAAAUGAGCUACGGCAAUUUGAGACAGAGUACCGGAAGGUGUUGAAAACUUUUCCCUCAUUACCCGUUAAUUUUAUGAUUUGUAUAUUAAUUGCUUUGUUAUGAUAUUCCAUAGGCUUUAGCACGCUUCCAGGAAGUCACCAACAGAUACAAUGAGGAAAAGCAGGCUGUAAGUUUUCACAAGUCAUUCCUGUAAUUUAGAUCAUGUUUUUCAUUUUUUCUGGUUUCUUAAUUUCUGAAGGCUUUGAUACUAACUGAUGGGACAACGGCUAGGCUGCUGAUGACUUAAAAGAUAUUUCAGUUUUUUUUCCUUUUUGGUUACAUUUUCACACAUUCUUAGGUCUGAAUUCUUUUUUAAAUUCUCACACAACUAAUGGGUGAAGACCUAUUUCUGGUAGAAGUGGUUGGAUACGACACAAUAUGGACACAUGAUUUAUUUUUAAAAAGUCUAGGUCGGAACAUGAUAAGGGCACAAUUAUUCAAUAUACGAUUUUUUUUAAAAAUUUUAAAAAGCACAU
rnacentral:lncRNA from 1 species